GGUUUAGCACUUUCUCACCUUAGUACCAUGUGGUUUAAAGUGUAUCAAGUUAGUGUCCUGUGGUUCCAUUUUUAUUUUUUUCGUUAGCUUUUCUGUUAGUAUUUCGUUAAAUUAUAUACAAAAAAACUUUAGAUAUCCCACCUAGAUUUAUUGAAUAUUCACUUUAGUAUCCUUUGAUUUUAACUUUGUCACUGAUUUAACGAAAAAAUUAGUAGAAUCAAUAAUAAAAAGAUAAAAAUAAAAUCACAUGGCACUAAAUUGAUACACUUUAAACUAUAGGGUACUAAAGUGAAAAAGUGUGAAACCACAGGGGUGGUAUUUGAAGUUUUUCCUAAUUUUUUUUAUCAACACUUUUUGUCCUAUCAACAUGUAUUAAUCACACCGCGAAAUUUCAUCGUCUUAACCGUAAAUUAUUAUAUGAGAGUCACGAGAAGCAAAAAAGUGAUUGAGAUUGGCAAUAACGAAACGGAUGAGCCGAUGCCUGCAACGGUGGUAGCAAUGAUAGAUACAAAUAAAAGUUGAGCUCCUUUUGUUACGUAGUUAUUGAUUGUGAAGAUAAAAAUAAAUUUUUAUAUUUUUUAAAAAAAUUAAAGAAAUAAAAGUUGAGGGAGCGAUUUCAAAUGCUGGGAUAGUAGAGAGGUCUCCCUAUAUUUUUAUAUAUUUUUGUUCUUAAUUUAAUUUUUUAAAAUAAGUUGGUUUGUUGGAUUUGAAAGGAGAGCUUAGAUUAUUUAUAUACCACCUACUAACACCUCAUUCUAUACUUUAUACUUUUAUAUGUAGGAUAUUAUUACGGAUACAAAUGGAUCCGGAUUUGUGGAGAUUUGCACCACUUCGUUCUGAACCGGACAACACAUAUUUUAAAAAAAUUGUUCGGAAUCUAUUUGAAUCUGCUAAGAAAUAGAGCGGAAGGCAGGGAUACAUUUAUUUCUCUGAUCUGUCUCGAUCCGCUCUAAAAGAAAAAGAAUAAAAUUUAAUCGGUCGUGAAUCUGUCUUUUACUGGUUCUGUCUCGUUUGCAUCCCUAAAUAUAAGUAAUAGGUGCCACAUCAGCUUGUAAUGAGCCUAGUGAUUGGGCCAACACAUUCAUCACUUAGCUCACCAACCAUCUACUAUUAUUGUGAACUAAAUUUAAAAAAAAAAGUACUUACAGAGAAAAACUUUUUCACUCCUCUUUUAUUUUUGGUGAAACAAGCAUAUGCAGAAUCACAUAAGCAAAUUGAAAUUUAUCCUUUAAAUUUUUAUUAGCUAAACUACAAAAAAUUUACCUAUAUAUACCCUUUUUUUUCACUUUUGUAUCAUAAAUUUCAAAAAAUUAUAUUUUUUCUUUUUAAAAUUAAAAAAAUAUUUUUGGAGGAUUACGACGUUAAUAAAGAGCAAAAUAAACCAAAUUACCUUUACUUAUUAUAUAAAAAAUAAUUUUGAAUAUAUUUUUAAAUUUUAAGGAUAUUUUUGGUGUCGUAGAAAUCCGCCACGCGGAUUCUCGUCGGACGGAAAAGCGUCAACUCACACUCUUCGCGCGUAAAACGUGUAUUUUAAGAUAGAGGCAAUUGCUUAUAUGCCCCUGAAAAAUUUUCGACUUUUCGAUUUAUUCCUCUUAGAAGGCUAAUAUUGAAAAUACCUUUUCUACGUUCCAACUAGGGAUGUCAAUGGGUAUGGAUAUUCGAAAUUUUAUCUGAACCCGAACCCGAAUGAAACAGAUAUAUUCGAUGGCUAUGGAUAUGGAUUUGGAUAUGGAUAUAAAAAAUAGAAACCCGACGGAUAUGGAUUUGGAUAUGGAUUUUGAUUGUACCCUAUCUGAAUCCGAACCCGACCUGAACCCGAACCGAACCUGAAUUUAUUUUGUAUUAUAUAUAAUAUAUAUAUAAAAAUUUGAUGUUAUAUUUGAAUUUAUAUUUUAAAAAUUUAGAUUUAAUAUAAUAUUCGGGUUCAAAUUUUCGGGUUCGGGUUCAGGUUCGGGUUUCAGAUUUUUGGUAGGGUUCGGGUUUGGAUAUGGAUUUUUAAAAUCCGUCAGGUUCGGGUUCGGGUUUUUAAAAAUCUGCCCCGAAUCCGACCCGUUGGCAUCUCUAGUUCCAACCUAUUUCUAAUAUAUCCCUAGAGUUAAAAUAUGUUAAUUAACUCUAUUAUCUCUGUAAAAUUACUAUUUUGCUUUUUCAAAUAUAUCCUUUCAUCAUCACUGACUUUCUUAUUUGACCUCAAAGUCAGGGGCACAAAAACUAUUUUGACUUUUCAUCUUUUUCAAUAUAUCCCUCUACCGUCACCAAUAUUUCUUAUUUGCCCUUAAGUUAAGGGUAAAAUUGACAUUUUAAUUUUUUUAAACUGUGGUAGAUAUUUAACUCACGUUUAGCCCAAGUUAACUUAACAGGAGAUAACUGCGGGGGUAUUUUGUAAUAACGGUGAAACAUAUGAGAGGUAUUUUAGAAAGAACAAAAAAAAAGAGAUAAAUUAGAUAUUUUCAAAAGUAUGAGGGGUAUAUAGGCAAUUACCCUUUAAAAGGGCAGUAAAAUGAAUGGAUAGCUCCUACACAAUCCCAAUAUUGCAACUUGCUACCUAUAUAGUUUACUUAACAUUUUAGUCCCCAAAUUUUGAUACACAUCUACUUAAAUUGCUAAUAAGUUGUUGGGUAACCUUCAAUUUGCCUCCUGUAAUUUAGUACUUUGUUAUUUUACCACAUUAUAGUUCAAAUAUUAUACUUAUCAAUUCUAUAAUUUUAUUUUUAUUUUAUUGAAAAAAAAUCUAACGUUAAUUAGAACAGUCUAAUAAACUUUUACAAAAAUCAAUCGGAUGAUAAUAUCCAAGAGAUACAUUAGUUAUAUCAUUAUUUAAAGAUAAUACGGUAGCUGAAUUAGGUAUAUUUUUACGAAACAAUCUAAUUAAACAAAAAGUUCAGUCGCUUACUUGAAAUAAUUUGAAAUUCCUAAUCUUUUGGGCAUAUAGAUUGUAUCAAUUCUAAUUUUACCGCCAUCAAUGUCGUUUUCUGUUCUUAAAACUAUUUCAUUCUCGCACAUAUUGUUUAUAGUCUCUUUUGAAGAGAACGCGUUACUAGACUUUUUUAAAAAUUUAAAAUGUCAAUGCGAAGAUUGAUUAAGAAUUAUUGGAUCAUGACUGCGAUCUAUAUGAGUAAGCAAUACUUUAUUGGAGCUAACGUGACCUAUUUUAUUAUAAUUAAUAAAAAUUUAAAUUAUUAAAAUCUAAAUAAAAUAAAAUAUAAUGGUUAAAAAUUUGGCAAAAAAAAGAGGAAUAAUCGCAGAUGACUCCCUGCAAAGGUGAAGAAUAAUUGACAAAAAAAAAAAGGAUAAUUGACAAACAAAAAAGAUUAAGAACUAAAGUGAGAAAUUGGUAACAUGUAGGGGCCAAAGUGCAAUUUAUCCAAAAUUAAAAAAAAAACCGUCUCUUUCGCUCUUCUUUCGCGCGCCUUCCCCUUCUCUCUUCUUCUUCUUCUUCUUCUUCCUCACUCCCCCUCUCUUCUCUCGUCCUCCCUUGUUAACAAUAAUAAUAAUAAUAAUAAUAAUAAUAAUAAUACCCGUUAUUUUCCCCUCCCGUUUCGGUUUCGCUUCUUCUUCUUCUUCGCCCCCUUCCGAAACCCGUUACGUUUCGGUUGCGGUGUAACUCGCUCCGUUCCGAGAACGGAAACAUACGGCGCAAAAGAGCUCCUAGGGUUAGGGUUAGGGUUUGGGUUUGGGUUUUAUCUUCGUCUCUGAUGCCGGAGAUCGCCGGAGAUGAUGGCGCUUGACGUCGUCGUCGUCUGCGGCGGCGGAGGAGGAGGACGAGGAGGAGGAGGAGGAGGAGGAGGAGGGGGAUGGGGUGCGGGAGCUCGCGGGCGGAGGAGUCGGCGGCGGUGGUGCUGUGCCGCGACCGCGCGCGGCUGAUCCGCGCGGCGCGCGACCGCCGCUACGCCCUCGCCGCGGCCCACGCCGCCUACUUCCGCUCCCUCUCCGCCAUGGGCGACGCCCUCAGCCGCUUCGUCGCCGAGGAGCUCACCGAGGUCGCCUCCUCGUCGUCUGCCCCGACCCUCACCCUCCCCCCCUCCCAGGGCAAGGCCAAAUCCAUGUCCAAAUCCAAAUCCAAGCCCUCCUCCGCCUCCUCCAAUGGCGGCGGCGGCCUCAGCAUCUCGUCAUCGGUGACGCCGCUCUCGCACGCCCUCUCGAUAACGGAGGGAUCGCGAUCGCACAUCUCCUCCUCCUCCUUGGUUUCGAGCCCUAGGAAAGCUCGGAAAGAGAUGCCUUCGCCUUUGCAUUCACCUUCCCCUUCUCCUCCUCCUCCUCGUCGAUCGCCGAUUCCAAACCCUAAAGACCACGAAAUGUCGUACAACGAGCUGAAUCCGCCCUUUACUGGGUAUCUCUAUGGUUAUAAUUAUCCCUAUGAUCUCCCUUUUGGAUCGGAGAGAGAAAACCCAAAUUACUACAACAAGCCUUCCUCUCCGCCACAGCCAGCGGCACCAGCGCCAGCAUCGGCACCUCCAUCUACUCCGCCACCGCCGGCUCUAGAGGUUUCAGCAUGGGAUUUCUUCGAUCCGUUCACUUCGUAUGAUCAAUUCGUUGCGGAUUACGCACAGGGGAGGUACGGAUUCAGUUCUUACAGUUCUAGCCCUAAUUCGAGUGUGGUGAGGGAGAAAGAAGGGAUUCCCGAUUUAGAAACGGAGAUGGAGGUGGAGAAGGAGAAGAGAGUUGUCGAUGCGAGGGUUUCGGUGGAAUCCACACAAGAGAAGGAUAGUAAAGUUGAUAUGGAGGAGAGAGAUAGUAAGAGUAGUUUAACAUCUAUCGAAGAUAGAAGCAGCGGAGAGGAAGAAGGAUCGAAUGAGAAGAAGAAAGGAGUGACCUUCGGAGAGGAUAAAUCUUUGGACUUUGAGAGCGGGGAAAGUAACGAGAAGUCGAUCUCCACCUUUUCGAGUAGUGGAGUAGUGUUAUCGGUUCACGGGACGAGAGGUAUCAUGGAGGCUGUGAGGGAAAUCACGGAGCAGUUUGAAUUCGCUUCUGAUUGUGGCGAGGAGGUUUCGAGGAUGCUUGAGGUCGGGAAGGCGCAGUACCGAAUGAGAAGUAGAAUUCUUACAUGUGGGUAUUGCAUUUUUGUUUUCCUUUUCUUGUUUUUCCUGUUUUAUAUUAGCUUUGAAGCAUCUUGAUUUAGUUGUUGCUGGUAAAUGCUGAUUAUAAAUAAGAUGGAGGGGAAUGAGGUUUUGUCUUUUCAGCUUGCUGUAGGAUGAGCUCAGGAGAAUUGCGGUGAAGGGCGAGGAGGUGCUGUUUUAGUAAAGAUUUCUUCUAUGAUUUAUUAUUUUGUUAUGUGGAAUAUUUCUAUAGAAUUAUGAACUCAAUUUCCAAACUCAUAGCAUAAUCUAGCCUUUUAUCCAUCUUGAGCAAUUAUUCCAAAUUUUAGAUAAGUACAAUAAUAGAUUUUUUUAUUAUUUAUUUUUUUUUUUUUUGUGAAUGUUCAAUUGAUCUUUUAUCAACGAAAGACUCGUGUUUGAAAUCUAGUUUGACUUACUAUAGAGUAGAAUGGUCCUUGUAUUUUCUUAAUUGUUGGACACCUCUUCCUCAUUAUACAUUCAACUUUUUCGCCAAGGGAGUGUUUGGUUCCUCUGAAAAGUGUGGAAAACUAUUUUCCAAAAAAAAAAAAUUUCAUGCAAACCACUCUUUCUCACAAUUUUAGUUUCCCGAAUAAAAAAUUCGUAAAACGAAAACACUACUUUUCCAUAAAACCUGGAAUUUUUUUUUUUUCCAGGCAAACUAUUUUUCCUAGAAAUCAAACGGACGAAAAAUACUAUUCUAGCGAAAAAAUUAUUUUCUGCGAUUUUUCCCGGAAAACCAAACACCCCCUCAAUGUUUUCUCACACAUCCAAAAUUAGUAGUUUUCGCAUUGUUUUUUUUUUUCUCCCCCUUUUUGUUAUCUCUGUCUGCAAUUAGUGGUCAAAUACUAAAGCGGUAAAGUAUAAUUUCUUUUGGAGAAUCUACUAUAUCAAAUAGAGUACUUUAGAAUCAGUGAAUUUUGUAAAUCUUGGUGCAGUUAUCUUUUCCAGGAUUUUGGAUCCCAUGGCUCUGACCAUAUUGAGUUUUCCACGCCUUUCUUUCAAGCAAUUCGGACCAUCAAGUGCAUCAAGUAGCACUACUAGCAAUUAUGAGCCAGAAAAGUACACUGGUAUGAAGUCCGGCAACCUCUCAUCAACGUUGGAGAAAUUAUAUUUAUGGGAGAAGAAACUGUGUAAGGAAGUUAAGGUAUACAGAAAUAUUCUUUUUUGAUUGUGUAGGUAACUAAUCGAAGCAAUUCUGUUACCUUGCAUGUUUAUUGGUAAUUCCAAUGAGUGAAGAUGCUGUUUUUGAACUCUAAACUUUUGAGUUGAUAAAAACAAUAUUUUGUAAAAGACUAUGCUUUAGUUUGUCGCUUUACUGAUAAUUUAAUAUGUUAUAGCUUUUAAUGUAAAACACAUUGUUCUUUAGUAACUACCGCUUACCGACUCACACCUUUAUUUUGUAAUAUAUAAAAUUUUGAAGCUAUAAGCAUGGAUUGCAAUAACUAUUGAACAUAAUGACUCAGAUAUUGACCUUGAUAAUGCAAAUUCACUUCAGCAGAUUAUAAUUUGUAGUGAAAAGGAAGGAAAAACUUUCCCCCUGUUUGACGUGGUCGGAGUUUUUGCGAAAGUGCUGUUUUAGUGAAACUGUUUGAAGAUGCUCUAGCUGCUUUUUCAGUAGUUUUUCCUCAACAGAUUUUUUUUUGUUGUAGUAGAAGUAAAAACUUUAAAUUAGAGAUUCUACAUUAAAAUUCAGAAAGUUUAUUUCAAUUUUCUGUGCUAGCAAAAUGUUGGUUUCUAGAAGUUUUUGCUCUCUGGAAUAGAGCCAAUCCAAACAGGCACUUUGUGAAGAACAUGCACUAUUCGAUUUGUAGUCAUUGGUCAACCUAUUUGUUAAGAUUUGCUUAGAUUGUUGUUCUAGGAUGAAGAAAAGCUUCGGCUCAUCUAUGAGAAAAAGUACACGCAGCUAAUGUCUUUGGACAAAGGAGGAGCAGAGUUUUAUGAGAUUGAUUACACACGCGCAAUGAUGCAAAAGUUGUGCACAAAGAUAGGUGUUAUCGUUAAAUCAAUUGAUGCCAUUUCAGCUAGGAUGCAGCAGAUAAGAGAUGAAGAACUGCAACCCCAACUUGCAGAACUAAUCCAAGGGUAUGAAUUUUCUUAACACCUUGAUUAAAAAUUCCAUAUUUAUCUAUCUAUUUGUUAGCUUGUAUAUAUUGAUAUCUCAUAUUAGUAACCUAUUUCCUUUUAUUCAAACAACGUUAAAGAGACCAUUUCAAUCAAGUCAAAGGUCUUAAAGUUGACUUUUAGUGUGAAAUUCUUUGAAGUAAACGGAAACAGAUUAGUAAUUUUACAAUAGAUCGGAUAAUGGUCAUAUUGUUAGAUGAGUUAGAUUAUUUUGUCGGUCAUGACUAAGUGCAAUUUAGGUGAACAUUCAGCGACUAAAGUGUUUGAGUGUAAAGUAUAGGGACUAAGUGUUGGGACUUAAGUCCUUCAAAGCUUGGAAUUUGCGUGAUGUUCCUUUAAAUAAUUCUUUGGUACCACAUUUUCUUAAUUGUCUUAGUCCGCAUUCUUGAGUGCAGUUCGAUAAGAAUGUGGGUGUACGUUUUGGACUGCCAUCAAAAACAGUUACAAGCGUUAAUCGACAGCAAAAGCCAUCACCUCAAGGCAAAAGCUGGAGGCGAAAGAAGUUCUGUUGCUAGGGCUACCAUGGAACUGGAGCUUCAGCUCAGGAACUGGUGUCACUGUUUCAUAAAUUGGUUCGAGACCCAGAAAUCUUACAUCGAAGUCCUCAAUAAAUGGUUAAUAAAAUGGCUCCCCAAAGUGCAGGAAGAAGAAACACCAGAUGGGGUCCCGCCGUUUUCCCCGAGCAAAUUUGGGGCUCCUCCAGUGUUUAUCAUCUGCAACGAUUGGUCGCAAGCAAUAGAAAGGAUCUCAGAGAACAACGUGGUUAACACAAUGAACGUUUUUAGUUCAUUUAUGCAUCAGCUUAGGGUUAGUCAAGAAGAGGAAUACCGUCGAAAGCUAAAGGUAGACUAUCUCUCCAUGGUUUAUGACAAAAGGCUAAAAUCUUUCCAGAAGGAAACUCAGUUUAAGGAGAAUUUGAAUGUUGUUUCUGUUUCUGAAAAUGGUACCGAAUAUCUUGAUGAUCAUACGAUGGUUUUAGACUCGGUGAGGAAAAGAAGGGAUGAGGAGAUAGAAAAACAUGAGGAGGCAAUACAAAGAGUUCAUCAUGCCGCUUCAAGCUCUUUGCGAAGUGGGUUAGUUCCUAUAUUUGAAGCAUUGGAGAAUUUCUUUAUGGAGAACUUGAAGGCGUAUGAGGGAAUUAGAAUCGCAAAUGAAAGUGGAGAUUCAUAGUACACACCAUGAUGACAGCUUUGGCCGAAUUGAAUUAGGUUACUGAUUCUGCAAAGACUCAUUAUGGGCGCCAAAGAUAUUUGAAAUCAUUGAUUAGCUUUAGGGUUUAUUUAUCGAUUGGUUUGGCGAGAGCUUUUGUAGAAGUGUUGUUCAAAUAAUAGAGUUGUUCGAAGAAGCCUCAAUAACUUUUUUUGUUAAAAUCUCUUGAACAACUUCACACCGCAGCAAGCAGUACAAACUUAAGUUGAAGCUUGUGCGCCAUUCCCGACUCCAGACUUUUUACCGGCCAAACAUUGACGCUAAAUGAAUUUGUCUCAGAAACUGACAAAAGGGGCUUGUAAAUGCUUUUCCGGUGGAGGUUCUCACUUUUUCUUCUUUUAUUAUCGGAGGAGCAGAGUGCCUUUAGAUUUUUUUUUUAUUACUUGAAAGUAUCAAAGUGGUUGCAUUUGCAGAAUGUAAUCUCACAGUGGCCUUUAAUCAAGGCUGAGCCAUUUAGAUACAUAUUUUGCUCUUUUCGUUAGCAGAUGCAGUUUGUUUAUAUUUGCCUCCUGCAUUCAUUGAAAUUCAGAUAUUAUAAACAAAUACCAAAAAAAGGGAUUAAAUUUUAGUUUAUUUGCUAUUCUCUCAUGCAUACAAUUGGAGGAAUCUUGUUUAAACAAUAUACUUGAAAAAUCAUUAAUAUGUUGUUUAUAUUUUGUUCAUUUUUUGAGUUCUAUGUUUGAAAUUUGGUUGAUUCAAUCUGCUAUUCAACUGCGAAGUUUCAACUUGGUAAUUUUUUUUUAAUUUUUGAUGUUUAAUUUCAUUCUGUUUUCAUUUUUGUGAUAGUCUUAUAAAGAGACUCUUGCAGGUUAUUUUUGCAGAUCUGUACUUGCACAUUUCAUUGCUAUUUUUAGAAUUUUCAUUGUUCUAUCAUGUUUAAUUGAACCAUUCAUUACUUCAUUUUGAAAUUUUGAGUUGUUGCAAAAAUAUUGCUUGUUUCCUUGCUUUUUUCCUAAUCCAAGAUUUUGAUUGACCAAAUCAUAGAUUUGGUAGAUCCAGGGUUGCUUUCAUUUUUGAAAAUGUUAUAAAACAAGCAACAAGUUGUUCCUUUGUGUUAAUACCUAGAUGAGGCCAUUUUUGAAAGGCUAAAAUGCGUUUUACCCCCUUCAAUAUGUUCUUAUUGCACUAACUGUUUGUUAAAAAAAAUAUGCACUUAAUCUCUCUGGAAAUUUAUGUUGUUAGUAUUUAAUCUCUAUUAGAUAAAAAAAGUAUACACUUCAUCCAAGGAGAAAAAGAAAAGUAAACAAUAAAGGCAUAUUUGGUCAUUUUACUAAUUUUUUUUAACACUAUAAUCUGAUAGGAUAUUUUUGAUUUUUUGAGAGGGGGUUAAGUGCAUAUUUGAUAAGAUAUUUUUGAUUUUUUGAGAGGGGGGUUAAGUGUUUUUGAGAGGGGGGUUAAGUGCACAUAUGAUAAGAUAUUUUUGAUUUCUUGAGAUAGGGUUCAGUGCAUAUUUUUUAUAUCUAGAGAGUAAAAUACAACAUGCGAUAUAUUGAGGGGAAUUUGCAUUCACGCACACUAUCUCCAAUCACAACCUGUUUCCAUCUAAUGUGGCACUAUUGGAGCUAUUCCAAAACACACAUAAUUUUCAAUAAUCACAAUCUCUUUUCCAUCGGGAUCAUUUUCAAUCAAAAUUUCAUUUCUUUCUUAUGUGAUUUACUUUCAAUCACAAUUAUAUUUCCAUCUGAUGUAGGACUAUUAGAGUUAUUCCUAAUUACAACCCUAUUUUUAUCUUAUGUGGAAUUAUUAGGGACUUGUAGACUCUUCCUCUUUAAGCCCACUCCCAAUUUAAGGCUCUUGGGGUGGACGAUGUAAAGUCCUUGAGGUUGUUCUUAAUUACAACUCUAUUUUCAUCCGAGACUCGCAACCCCGAUGUGAGACUAUUGGGCCAACGCAAAGCCCUUGGAGUUAUUCCCAAUUACAAUCAUAUUUCCAUUCGAUGUAGGACUCAACCUCAUUUCUAUCCGAUAUAGGAUAUCAGGCCGAUGUAAGACCUUCGGGGUUAUUCCAAUUACAAUCUUAUUUAUAUCCAAUGUGGGACUAUUGAGUCGAUGUGAGACUAACGGGGUUAUUCCCCCAUAGUCUCCAAUGCAAAAUUUUAAGUUUGAAUACAUAUAUGCCAUGCCCUGUUCUUUUUCCUUUUUUUUAGCCCAAUCUUAUUCCCAAUAGUUCCAGCUUUGUGGGCUGUGGCCCAUAGUGUCCCAUUAGCAACCCUAGUUUUUCAUAUGUUCCAAUUGUAGGUUUAAAUUGUAUUAAGUUAGAGGCAAGGAUUAAAGUGGUCAUCGACACGGACCAUAUCCACCAUAUAGUAUUGUACCAGCAAAAUAUCGGCACGAUAUAGUCUUUAUGCCGACGGCACAACUCGAAACUCUAUAUUUUUGAAAUUAGUAAGUAAUUUUCUUAAUAAAGUUUAAGAGAUUUGAUAAAAAUACAUAAUAAAUAAUUGGCAUAUUUUAUUGCUAAAGAAAAUAAAUAUUUUUGUGACCGACACGUAUCGGCACGGCCUGGCAGGCACCUUGCCGUACCAUGCCGGCAGAUUUUUGGCAUGAUCCUAUACCACGACAUUUAAAUUCUUGGUUAGGGGAAUAUUUGGUUCACAAGGAAAUCAUGAAAAGCUGUUUUUUUCAAAAAAAAAAAGAAGUGAAAAGCUUUUUUUUUUUUUUCAUAGUUUUAAUUUUCUAAAAAAAAAAUCCAGAAAACAAAAAGGAGACUUUUUCAUGAAAUGUGGAAAGAACUUUCUCAAAAAAUUUAGUUUUUCUAGGAACCAAAUAGACAGAAAAUAUACUUCUAGUCAGAAAAGUAAUUUUCAGAUUUUUUUUUUUAGAAACCAAACUCUCAUGUUUUGUAUGCUUUUAUCUAAUUAUAUACAUGACUACAUUUGGAGCUAUAUUAGAUGAAUUUAGGGCGGGGUGGAUCAAUUUUUUCUCCGUCUCCCACCCUAAAUCCGUAUCGGAUCAUAAAAGUAGUCUCCUGAAUCUGAUAAUUCUAUAUUCCCAAAUUCAUUUGCAUCUAUUAUUAAAUUUAUUAAAAAUAUUUUUUGUGAACCAAACUCAGUAACUUCUUAUUCUCAAAUAUCUAAAUUGUGCGAACUAAAUGGAAAAACAGAAACAACCAAUAUCUGGUUCAAAUACGUGAGCAUCUUAUUCGACAUAUCUAUUCUAUUUACUCAAAAAACAUGUAGUAUCUGGUAGAUGAAUAAGGAGAUCAGAUGUCUAGAAUUGAUAUCAUAUUUGGUCUUUAAAUUAUUAUUUUUAGAAUAAAAUAAAUCAUUUCGUAGGUAAAAUAUAUUAUACUACCAAAGUCGGAAUUAGAAAAUCUUUUAAGGAAACUCUGGCAUCGAAUAUAUUAUCAUUAAAUGUUAUAUUCUGACCUUCAAAUAGAGCCCAAAGAAUCCCAUAUUCUUUGCUACCCAAAUUUUAGAGAAUCGAAUUCUCAAAAUUUCAAAUAAUUUUGCAAAGUGCAAACCAUGUAUAAACAUACAAAACUUAUCUGAACUAUAAACCAUUUUGAAUCAGCUAUUCAAAAUUUCAAAAUAUUGAUUUUACUACUCAACGUUUCAAUUUAUUUGAUUUGAGUCAGUGAACAGUAUUUUUGACUAUAAAAUUUAAGUUAAUUACUUAAUUUAGUAAAUUUAUAGCUCUGAAAAUUAUAUGUAAUAUGCUAUAUAAAUCCGUAAAGAGUUACGACGCAUUCAUAUUUUAAAGUCAAAAUAUCAUUAACUCAUUCAAAUCAAAUAAAUUAAAAAAUUAGAUAGUAAAAUUAAAGUUUUAAAAAAUUAAAUAGCCAACUUAAACUAAUUCAUAGUUCGGAUAAGUUUUAUACGUUUUUACCAAAGUUAAAAAUAAACACUAGUUAAAUUUUGCACACAAUUAUUAUUUUAGCAACAACAUGUGAUAUGUCGAAUGCCACGUGUCGCCAGCUGUGCGGUGCCAGCUGUAACUGUUUAUCACAAUUUUAAAUAGAUUCAAAAAAUUAAAAAAUUAAUAAAUUAAGAUGUAAAAUUUUAUUAAAAUGAGUUGCCAUAUCAUAUUGUUCCACAUCUCAACAUAUAUCUAAUGUAAUUUGCAACUCAAAAAAUAUAUAAAAAAAAUGUAGAUAAAGAAAAUCUCCUAAUUUACUAAUUAGUUUUUUUAAUUACGAGUGAAAUGAUAAAUCUAUAAUAAAAUAAGAAAGAUUUUUCUUAAUCACCAGAAAUGUCUCUACUAAUAUGUUCUUGUAAACUUUUUGAUUUUUAAACCAAUUUAAGAUAGUAAUGAAAAUAGCAAACCUAUUAAUACAAUUUAUGUAAGGAUGUUAUUAAUUAAGGACAAAGCUAAAAUACAGGUUUAAAAAUCAAAAAGUUUACAAGAACAUAUUAGUGUCACGCCGAAACCUAUUAAUACAAUUUAUGUAAGGAUGUUAUUAAUUAAGGACAAAGCUAAAAUACAGGUUUUUUUUUUUUUUUUUGAAUUUAGCAUAAAAUAUACCUAUGAUUUAACUUUUUCUUUUGCCAUCCUGUGGUUCAAAAAAUUAUAAUUUUUUGAAUGAUUAAUGCGAUUUCGGCGUGAGGGUAAAUUGAAGUUUAUCCUAAAAUAUACAGGAAAAUUAAGAAGAAGGAUUGUGUUAACGCCGUGUGUUUAGGUUGUAUUAAUUUUGUACAAUCUGCUUAAGUAUGCAAAUGGGACAGCCUCCAGCUCCAUUUCUUGUCGGCUUGAGGUGGAUUCGGGACGGAUUAAUUUUAAUUUUAGUUUUUUGCCUUUAUUUACCCUUCUAUUCGGGCCGAUCAGGACAGAGACGAGUAUUUAGCGGAUUAGAAUGGAUCGAAGAAAGAAAAUGGUUUCUCAUCUUCCGCUCCAUUUACUUGACGGAUUAAGACUGAUCUGAAAUGGAUUAUAUUUUUAUGUAUAUAUAUUUUUCAUGAGUCCGGCUACUAUACUUUUAUGAGUACGAUGCUUUCGUACUCAUAAGUCAUUUUCGAUGAUAAAGUUUUCGAAUCGAUGAUCUAUACUGUUAAACAUUUUUAGAGCAUUUAAAACUUUUAGAAAUCAAGUUUUAUAAAUUUUUGACAUCAUUUAUUUACCUUAUGAAAAAGAAAUCUCAAAAUUGAUAAUUUUUAACUGUCGAUAUGAGAUACUUACUAGUUUAACGGUGUAAAAGAAUCAAAAUCGAUUGAAUUUUUGAUAGAAAAUUCUAUUUACUAGCCAUAUAAAGAUCAAUAACUCCGAUAUUAAAUUAAAGGAUCUAAUCAUCCAUUUUUAAGAUGUUGUUCGAUUUUGAUCGUUCAUUUUAUGUCCGCUUGAUAGAUUUUAUUAUGAUUUCAAAAAAAAUACGAAAUUUUUUUAUAGAAGUUUUAAAUAUUUUAGAUUAUAUUUAACGAAAUGGAUCGUCGAUUCGAAAGUUCCAUCAUUGAAAAUAAUUUAUAAGUAUAAAAGACUCUAUACUGAUAAGAGCAUAAUAGUUCUACUAUAUUUUUUAUUUACCAUUUUAUUUGAAACGGAUCGGAUCAGAAACUCCACGAACCCGGAUCCAUUUGCAUGCCCAAGAUCCUCACGCCGUUUUCGGAACCGAAUCACGCGGAAAAGCAUAUUCCACGUGGCGUGUGCUACUCUCACCCCCUCCUUUCUCUCGUGCACGCCACCUCAAUCCCUCUCCGCAUCCGAACUCCAACUAACCAACCCUUUAUGCGGACGCACCAUCCACCCUUCGUUACGACAAAUCCAACAAAGAAGAUAAAUAAAUUACAUUUUGGUCCUCAAACUGUAAAGAUGUUACACAAUUGCCCUCAACCUUUAAGCAAAAUUUCUUUAGAUUGCUACAAUUAAAUACCAGCCUAAUUUAGUGGACUAAUUACUAAUUUGUUAUUUACGUACUAAUAAUAUAGUAGCAUUAUGGUUCAAGAAACUGAUUAUUACUGUAUCAGAGACACGCCAGUAUAUAGAUUGAAUAAAAUUAAUUAUCGGACUUAAUUGCAAUAAUUUUAAAAGUUUAAUGACUACAGUUGCACGUUUCAUAGUUUGAGGACCAAGAGUGUAAUUUAGCAAAAAAAAAAAAGGAAAAAAAAAAGAGUAAUGCUACAUUUUUUAGUCUCUUGAUUAUUGAAGCCCUAACAUAAAUUUCUCUAAAUUUUUUGUUCGCUAACUAAAUUCUUGUCCGUAAUUUUAUUGUUCAUGAAAAUUAAAAUAAUUAUUGAAUUUAAUCUCAAAUAUUAUCCAAACAUUUCAUUCCACUUUUUUAAGCAGCUGAUAAUUAUUUUAUUUUUAAUUUAUUAUUAGGAACCUAAGGAUAACAAUUAAUUAGCAGCGGUAAAAAAGUUAAAAAUAUAAAAGAGAAUAUUUAAAUAUUACUUCCAGGUCAUAUAAUGUAUGGAAUUGAAUAAAGCGAAAACAUCACAAAAAGUUAGAUCUAUUUCAUAUGUUAAACAUUGAUAAAGGAGGCAGAUGAUAAAUACCAUAUAUUCAGGGGGUUUGCUGCAAUUUAGAUCCAACGUCCGCAUGGAGCACACUAUGCGGACCGCAAAACCACCGGGGUCCGUUAUUUAGAAUCCCGCGUCGGCGCUAAUCCAACUUAAUUAAGGGUUUAAUUAACUUAAUUAACGUGAUUAAGUUAGGACAGGUUAGCAUCGUUAAUUAAACCUCCUCGAUAUCCUCACUCCACCUUUUCCCAACCCUUCGCGCCCUUCUCUCCCCUCCUUCUUCUUCUUCUUCUUCUUCUUCGUCUUCGUCUUCGUGCCUCGCUAGAUCUCCGCAAAAACUCAACGAAACCGAUCCCUAGGGUUAGGGUUAGGGUUUCGUGGGAGCGGUGCGGAGGAGGAGGAGGAGGAGGAGGAGGAGGAGACGAAGCUCGUGGCGGCGGCGCCCAUGGCGGCGUGAGACGGAGAGGGGAUCGGAGCGAGCGGAAAUGGCGGACACGGCGGCGCCGCAGAGGAGCGAAGGAGGGGGAUGGGCGGUGGCGGCGUACAGGGCGUUGUCGGCGGAUAACGUGAAGGGGCUCGUGCUCGCGCUCUCCUCCAGCGUCUUCAUCGGCGCGAGCUUCAUCGUGAAGAAGAAGGGUUUGCAAAAGGCCGGGUCGUCGGGGUCUAGGGCAGGUGAGGGAUCGGCGCAGCCGCUCUAAUUGCUCUCGUAAUUGAAUUUUAUUUGGGAUUUUGUGAUGAUUUUAGUAGUAUUUUGCGGUUCUUUUUUGCUGAGAUUUUUAUGAAAAGAUGCUUCGGGAUCUAGGGCGGGUGAGAGAUUGGUAAUAUAGAUUUAAUGGCUCUUCUAAUUGGAUUUUAGAUGGGAUUUUGUGACGAUUUUAGUAGUAUUUUGUGGUUUUUUUUUUUUUUUUGUUUUCCGAGAUUUAUAAACAGAUGCUUAUUAGGGAAUCAGGGUAGGUGAGAGAUUGGUACAUGGCUUUAAUGCCCCUUUUGGUUGGAUUUUAGAUGGGAUUUUUUGCUGAUUUUAGUAGUAUUUUUUCCCCUUUUUUUGCUGAGAUUGAUGAAAAGUAGCUACGUUUAUUGCAUUCUGAGCUAUUAAUUCGUGGUAAAAUUGGAUUCUGUUUCGAGUAGAUGGAUCAAAUUCAUAAGUAACUUGUGGUGCAUACAUUAGAUAUCUGUGCGCGAAUCUUGUUUAGUAAAGGAAAAAAAAAUAGAGAAAAGGUCUUCAAAUUGAUUUUAGAUGGGAUUUUAUGCUGAUUUUAGUAGUAUUUUUUCCCCUUUUUUUGCUGAGAUUGAUGAAAAGUAGCUACGUUUAUUGCAUUCUGAGCUAUUAAUUCGUGGUAAAAUUGGAUUCUGUUUCGAGUAGAUGGAUCGAAUUCAUAAGUAACUUGUGGUGAUUACAUUAGAUAUCUGUGCGCGAAUCUUGUUUAGUAAAGGGAAAAAAAAAUAGAGAAAAGGUCUUCAAAUUGAUUUUAGAUGGGAUUUUAUGCUGAUUUUAGUAGUAUUUUUUCCCCUUUUUUUGCUGAGAUUGAUGAAAAGUAGCUACGUUUAUUGCAUUCUGAGCUAUUAAUUCGUGGUAAAAUUGGAUUCUGUUUCGAGUAGAUGGAUCGAAUUCAUAAGUAACUUGUGGUGAUUACAUUAGAUAUCUGUGCGCGAAUCUUGUUUAGUAAAGGGAAAAAAAAAUAGAGAAAAGGUCUUCAAAUUGAUUUUAGAUGGGAUUUUAUGCUGAUUUUAGUAGUAUUUUUUCCCCUUUUUUUGCUGAGAUUGAUGAAAAGUAGCUACGUUUAUUGCAUUCUGAGCUAUUAAUUCGUGGUAAAAUUGGAUUCUGUUUCGAGUAGAUGGAUCAAAUUCAUAAGUAACUUGUGGUGAUUACAUUAGAUAUCUGUGCGCGAAUCUUGUUUGAUAAAGGGAAAAAAAAGAAAGAGAAAAGGGCUUCAAAUUGGUUUCUAAAAAGUUCUAAUAGGAGAAACACAAUUUUAUUCUCACUUUGGAUGAGUUAUACUUAUGUGUUCCAUCAGAUUAUGCAAUAGUAAAAGUAAAUAUUACUUUGGAUGUUACCAUUUGUAUGUUAGACUUGGCUCUUGGAAUGGCUUCUCAACUUGAGAAAGCCAAAGGUUGCAAAAACUAGGUGUUUGGCAAAAAAAAAGAGAAGAAAUUCUGGAAAUUUUUAUUGUCGCCGGAAGGUGAAGUAGACUUUUGGGCCAGAAAAGCACAAGCUCCAAAUUGUAACUUCUGCUUCUACUGCAAUUAGAAGCUGUUGUGAGAUUUUUGUGUAAGGAGUAAAGAUCUUCUUUGAAGAGCUUGACUCAUGUGAACAAAUGGGUGUUCAUUUCCCAGAAAAGGAAAAAUGCGUAGUAAUAAAAGGGAGAAUAAGAUAGCAAGUGUUAUUAGACUACCUUGGGUUGUUGGUUUAGUACCUCAUGUUCUAAUUGAUUUCUGGGUCGACAAAUGCGGUUAGGGUGUGUAAGUGAUCUGAUUCUGAUUUUCCGGCUUUUACUUCUGUAAUUGAUCUGAUUCUGGAUUUUUUGUACCGAAUGGGAAAUUUUAAAGAAAAAGAUAUAUAAAAAAAAUUUUCUAUGGGGUGCGAGAGGAAAACUGUACUAGUAGUAGCAGUUCUAACUUCUAUGCACAAUCUCUUCAAAUUCUGAAAUGAAAGGUGCUACUUAUCCACGACUGAACAUUCUCUCAUUAUUCAGUAAAAAAGGCAUUUGGAUCUAAAGUCUUUGCUGAAACAAAGAACACCGAGAAUUCCAUACAGUCCAUCUUCUUUGGCAGAUGAUUCACACAUCCUGAUUUUACAUUUAAUCAAAAUUCACUACUUUUUCUAGCACCUAACUUAGGAGUACCUGGGGAAGUAAGUAGUAGAAUAAAAGUGGCAGUGGCUCUAUGUGUCUUUCUUCUUCUUCUGGAAAACUUCCUUUUUUCUCAAUGCUCCUUACACUAAUAUUUUUCCUAUUGUUUAUCAAUGCCCUAUCUCAUCAACCUGUCCUAUUUUGGUUUUUCAACAGGGAUUGGAGGUUAUUCUUACUUAUACGAGCCUCUUUGGUGGGCAGGCAUGGUCACAAGUAAGUUUUUUUUUUCUUGUUGUUUGCCUAACUCUUCAUGGUUGCUUGCACAAGUUGUUUACUCUGUUGUAUUUUCAUUUGCCCAUUUAAGUAUGUUGGUUAAUUAGAAAUUUGGAUCUUGAAGUGUGGCUGCAACUUCAAUAUUGUUGAAAGCUAUGGUUUUCUCCUUCUCUUACUACUAAUGUAGCUAACCAAAUACGUCAGUGGGUUCUAAUUCUCGAGUGCAUUGUCACGCUUUUAUAGUUUUAUUAUAAGAUUGCGACCAUGAAUUGAGGCUUUUUGUUUUAUAUUUAUGUGGUUACUAACAAGCUGUUCUUAUCAACAGUGAUUGUCGGAGAAAUAGCUAAUUUUGCAGCUUAUGCCUUUGCUCCAGCUAUUCUAGUUACUCCUCUUGGGGCACUUAGCAUAAUCAUCAGGUAUAACCCAGCAUUGAAUUUCAAAUAGCAUAAGCAUCUUUUGAUACACUUUUACGUUUUUAAUUCUUUGAUAUCAAAAUUGCUGCAGUGCUGCACUUGCAUAUGUUAUUUUAAGGGAAAAGCUACACAUUUUUGGCAUGCUUGGUUGUGUUCUUUGUGUUGUGGGAUCGACCACGAUUGUUCUGCAUGCUCCACAAGAGCGUGAGAUCAGCUCUGUGACAGAAGUUUGGGAUCUUGCUACUGAACCAGGUAUUCUACUAAAAUCUAAUUAAUUAAUCAAUAACUCUUGAAGUUGUGACUUACUUGUGAUACAAUCACCUUUUUGGGGAGCUUGCCUUCACAAUAUCUCCCUGCAAAGUCAUCUGUUUACAUGAAUGCCCCUAUUAAGUCGGAAUUUUCUUGUAUACCUCUCAAAGUAUAGUUUCUUACAAAAGUACCCUUAAGUUUUUGGGGUCACCGAAGUCAUGGGGAAGUGGUUUUCCAUGAAAAAAUGUGUCUUAAGAAAGGACAUUUUUAUGCACAGGAGUAUGUGUGAGGAAAUUGUUUUCUGAGAGGACCAUAUGUAACGUCUGAUGUUGCAGGGGAUAUAUAAUGCACAUUUUGAGUUACACUCAUUAUUAGAUACUGAGGUUCACUCUUUAUUAGAUACUGAGGUUCACUCUUUAUUAGAUACUGAGUUUCACUCUUUAUUACACAUAAACUUGAUGCCAAUUUUGAGGUUCACUCUUUAUUAGAUACUGAACCUUAUGCUGUGUUUUUUCUGCAGCUUUUCUAGUCUAUACAGCAAUUGUACUGGCUGCAGUGUUUAUACUUAUAUUUCGCUUUGCACCUCACUAUGGGCAAACAUAUAUAAUGGUGUACAUUGGCAUCUGUUCUCUUAUUGGCUCUCUCACGGUAUGUACUUUGGCUACAGAAACAAGGUAGUUAAUUUGAUGCCGUUCUUGUUCGCUUAUGCUUGCAUUAACUCUUUACAGUUUUGGAUCUACAGGUAAUGAGUGUAAAAGCUCUUGGAAUGGCUUUGAAGUUGACCUUCUCAGGAGUCAACCAAUUAGUAUAUCCACAAACUUGGGCCUUCACCUUAAUUGUAGCGGCUUGUGUCAUUACCCAAAUCAACUAUUUAAAUAAGGUAAUUUGUUGCAAUUUUUCCUCUUAAGUUCAAGUUUAUUCAAAUAUUGGAUUUAAUAAUAACUUAAAAGCCUAUUUGGACCCUCAUUCCAUUAAAUAAACAACUUACUCUCAAAAUAUGAGACUUGUUAAGUGAUAUUUACAUAUAAGAGUAGUGUUUGAAAGAGCAAGUUUCAAAUGAAGCAAGCAAAUUAAUUAAAAGGUCUCAUGGACGACAGAUAAGAAGUCACAUUCCUUUGUGCAUGUCAAAAACCAUUGCAAGUUUCAAACAGCUAUACUACUUAGGAGCUAAUCUACCUUUUUAAGUUUCAAACAGCUAUAUUACUUGAGAGCUAAUGUACUAUUAGCAACUGUUUGUCUCAGUGUUUAAUAUAUGUUGGAAGUCCAAAGACAAUAUAACUUGGGCUAUUUUGCUUAGGAGCUAAUCUACUUUCUAGCAAUACUAUGUUGGACUCGACCCUGGAGUUAAUUACUAGUUUGUUGUGAAGGAAAAAAAAGGGUGGAUGUGAUGUUUUCUUUUAAUGAAUGUUUGGGGAACCUUGUUACAACCAAAAGGAUGAAACGACUGAAAUAUAAUUAUUAUUUCAAAGUUCAACCUGCCAUCAAGAUAAUGUUAUAUUCAUGCAGAUUAUUUUGGCCUGAUUCUUCUCAUUUAUAAAAGAACUGAUAGCUUAGUUAUUGCUGAGAAUUACACUUAAAACUUAAGAAGGUUCUUCAAAAUGCUCUCCAUUAUUGCUAGGCAAAAGUUUUUUUUAUGCCUUUCUCUAUGUGCAUUCAUACUUGGCUGCUUAGGGCCCAUAAGAUAUUUCUUUCUUGUAUUUUGCAGGCACUUGACACAUUCAAUACAGCAGUUGUAUCACCAAUAUACUAUGUGAUGUUUACAUCAUUAACCAUUUUAGCCAGCGUGAUCAUGUUCAAGGUAAUCUUCUGGUCUUUCUUUUUGACUUUUCACAUUUUAUGCUUUACAAUUUGAGAGCUUCUGAAUUUUUCUUCGUUUAAGCUACUCUUUUUCUUCUUCUUCUUCUUCUUUUUUUCUUUCCUUCUCUCCAUUUGUGAUAAAAUACUAUUUCUUAUUUGUCCCCAUAUUUGAUGUCAUUGAGAAAAUUAGAAAAGCCUAUAUAAGAGACAUUUUGUGGGCAAAAGUUUGAACUUGCUAGGCAUUUCUCUCCUCUCCUCAAUUUUUAGACACCCCAAUUGAUUCAUGUCAUUCAUUGAAUAGGAUGUAACAUUAUACAGAGGGUUGUGAUCUCAUAAGAAAUUUAGGUCAGAAAUAAUAUAUCUACUGCUUUCAAUUUCGUGGUCUAUAUUUCCUUUUUAAAGACUACAGGUCAAAAAAAAAUUCUGGUGCAAUAUGGAAGUGUCAGUAUUGCCUAGGGAGAUUAUAUUCCAACAAUGCAUUCGGUUUCUUCAGUUGGCCUUUCCCAUCGCAGCAGUGAUUAACUCAGAUUACUUGACACAUAUUAAGUAUAAAGUUGAAAGAAAGAUAAAUGUUUGUUUAUCCCUUGUAACCUUGUUUUGUAAUUCUGGAACAAGUCUUCGGUGAAUAUAACAAUACAAGUAACCUUGAACUUUUGACAAAUGACACCCUGGUCCAUUAUCUCUCACAUAAACAGAUUAUUCCCUGCACUUAAGAGUCCCCUGUGUGGUAUUGAGGGCUGCCUAACACUACAGGGUGAAAAGAAUUUGGGGCAAAAGCAUAAAGAGAGAUAUGUUUCUCCAUUUUUUUCAGUAGGAUCACAGACUUUAUAUCUUAACUGAUUCCUUGCAUUAUGCAUGACGUAAUAUUACUUACGGAAACAAAUGGAAAGAAAUUGUUAACCCUUCUCUGGACCCUUCACUCUUUUCUCUAUUUCCUUUCCCUGAUUUGUUGAUCACAUAAUCUGAUUGCUGUGUCAAAUUCAAAAUUUGCUAUUUCUCCCUUGUUCUGAAUAACCAAUUGACUGUGAGGACUUCAAGGAUUAUUGCAAGUGAUGGCUUUAUUAUUUGGGAGUAGCUUCUUAUUUCAUUUUCUUGUCAGAGCCAAAAUAGCCACUGGAUGUUUUUAUCAAGCAAUUUAUUUAGCAUAAGUAAAAUACGACAAACAUUAACAUAGCUAGCUGCGUUAUAGAUUUUAAUGGUUAACUAAAUGCCUUCCUAACCUGGUUCCUUGAACAACUUCUCUAGGUAUAUAAUAUUAUUUGAAAUUUAGCCGAAAUGCAUACUCUUAGUAUCUUAUACGUUAUCUAAUCACUAAUCCUGUGCUAUAAAAUACAGGACUGGGAUGGGCAAAACCCAACACAGAUCGUCACGGAGAUGUGUGGCUUUGUGACUAUUCUUUCUGGGACUUUUCUUCUUCACAAGACGAAGGAUAUGGUUGACGGUAUAUAUCAUUUCAUUUUUUGUAUUUAUUGUCAAACCACUCCUUUUUACCACUUGGUUUCCGUAAAGAACAUUAAAUAGCGUAAAUGCCUGUUUGCCCUAGUUUUUGGAGUAAGUUUUCUCCUGUGAUAAUUAGUAUUUAGGCAUUUGGCAGACAAAGCUUUCUACUGUGACAAUUAGUAUUUAGGCAUUUGGGCAGAAUGGGAGCUAACUGGAAGUAGGGGUGACUCAGUUUGGUUUGGUUCGGUGUUGAUUAUAUUUUUGUCAACCGACCAAAAUAUUUCAUUGAAAGAUUGAUAAAACCGACCUAAACCGUACUUCUUCUAUGUGAAAAUAUGAACCAAACCGAAUUUAGGUUUAACCAAUCAAUUUGCGCUUCUCCUUGUUGUAAGCUUUUUACAUUAGUUGUAAGAAUCCAUUCAUUUAAAAUGAAUGGAUAUGAUCUAUCAGUAUAUAAUUAGCUAUUCUAAAUGUACUUAUUACAUUAGAAUUUGGUCAUCACAUAAUGAUCCAUAAAAUAGGACUCAAUUUGUACUACUUGUAUAUGUAUAUGAUCAUUGGUCAAUUUUAAUUAGGUUCGGUUGAGAAAAUUUCUUUACCAAACAAAAACCAGAAACCUAAAUACAUGGAUAUUGAAAUAUGAAUGCAACCAAAAAUCAAAUAAAGCAAACCACAAUUGGGGUUAAGUUUCGGUUUGGUUUUUGGUUUGGAGUCACCCCUAUUGUUGAGGGCAUUAAUGGAACAGCUGUUAGUGUUUUUCGAGCAACUUUGCUAAACAUAUUAGAGUUUAUUUAUUUAAAGUGACUUAAAACUCCAUUUUUAGCCUUUGGACCUCUUGGGUGGCCAAAUAUCAAAUGGGUUUUACCUGGGAGCCUGUGCAUAUCUUGCUACAUGUGAAUUUAGUCGCACAUUGAAUACUCAAGACAUGUAGUAGUGCCUUUUAUACUCCAUCAUCUUCAAGCUAGUUGCUUGGGUGAUAAUAAGAGUGGUGCCAUCCACAAAUACACACACGAGCAUGAGCACGAAUACUCGGUUUGGUUCACCUACACUUGAACCUUACCUUUUAUUAUUAUUAUGUUUUUGGGUUGCUAGUACUUUUCAUUCAAAAAAAAGGGAUACAUUUUAAUUAAAAGAAUAGACAGAUUGUCUAACAAAACAGUACUUUUACGGAAGUUCUAGCAGAUCCAAACGAACUUCAAUUAGAGGAAUAGGACCAUUAUAUCGAAAAUUCCUGAUAGUUGACUCUGGAGUCUUUGUUGUUACGUACCGCCCCAUUUUAUGUUAACUCAAUUCACGAUUCCUUACUUUGCCCUAACAGGUCUUCCUCUCCCAGUUCGACUUGAAAAUCAUGCCGACGAGGAUGGAUUUCCUCCCGAGGGGAUUCCGCUUAGAAGUCACAAUUCAUCACACAUUCCAUGAGUUCUUGUGGUAGAAAAUUCCCUCCAAUGAAAUAGGAAAAACUGCUUUUGAGGCAAUCAGCUUGUUGACGAAGCUCUACGUAUUUAUCCUUUUCACAUCAAGUAAGGUUCAAAGGCUACUUUCGUCUCCAAUUUGAAGAAGCAGGCGCUUUUCCUUUUCCGAGACAUGACGAGUAUACAGCUUGAUCGUGCUACAUAAGCAGUUGCUGAAAUACUGUUUCCUACUAGCUUAGUCGAAAAGCUGCUUUUAGAGAAAGGCACAUAUCAAUCUAUUAUGCUGGUGGGGAUUUUGGUGGUGCAGUUGUAUAGUCCUUUUCCUUCUUCCCACACUUUUCCUGCUAGGUUAUUAUUGUAGUUAUGCCAUGUAUUUACAUCAAUUCUUUUUCAUGUACGUAUCACAUAGAACAGAAAUUUGCAUUGUUUUUGAGAAACUUGUAUACAUUUCUUAUCUAGCAGAACGAAGAUCGAUCAAAUUCACAAUUUUGCUCUAUCUUUUGCUCCAUUGAAAAAUUGUCGAGAAUCUGAAAGGUGAUCAUACAAGGUGUAUCAAUUCUCCUCUAGUUUUUACUGCUUUUUUAAUCCAUUGGUCACAGAACACAGAACGUAUGACGAAAUUCUCCGUAAAUUAUGUAUUUGUACCCAUUUAUGUAUCUUUGUAUGUGUAAUAUCUGUAUCCAAAUUUGAAUCUGUCUCUGACUAGUUGAAUAAUAUCGCAUUCAUUUUCAUCCCUAGAUUGGAACCUGAAAAGCCAAACCAACCUGUUUAAUUAGAAGUAAGUAUAAAAAAAGAUAAAAUUAUUAAAAAAAUACUUGUUUUCUGAUAUUUUCAAGUUUUAUUUCAAUCACUUCAGCAUGUGUGCAGCUUAUCGACAUUUCAACUUUUCUAAAACAAAGUUAAUUAAAAAAAAAUCUCACAAGGAGAGAGAAAAAUAAAAAAUAGGAAUUAAGGAGAUUAAGACAUAUCGAAAGUGCGAAAAGACCCAAAAAUUCAGAGUCAAUUUCUCACUACAAGUCAUAGGUCACCAAGAGAAACAAGAGAAUUUUCUUGCACAAUUCUCAUGAGCAUUGCUAUGGGCACCCCAAAGUGUCCCUCUUAGAGUCCCCAAUUUAUAUAUCAAGUUGUGAAAUAACUAAUUAGUCUAAAUGUGAGAAAACAGUAUAAUUUUUUAAGAUCAAUACUUUUGGAUAGGCCCAAAAUAAGCACUUUAAACAGUCUCCCUUUUUUAAGGCUUGAGAUUUCAAAAAAAAAAUAGAGAAUUAAACUCAAAGGUAGUCGAACUCUAAAUCUUCUACUCUGAUAUCAUGUGAAAUCAAUUAAUUACUCUCGAAACUUAAAUUGACAGAGAAUGGUGUCUCUAAUAUCGACAUUCAACACGGAUGUCUACAUAAGUUUAAUCUUUAUUAUCUAUGACAAUUAGUGUACCUUAGAAAGGUACACGACUUAAUUUUCAUAUUUUCAUCUCUCAAAGACUAAUAGUCCACACUGUAUUAGGUCGGUCAACUUGGCCAACACAGACUUUGAAACUCCUCUUGCCUAGGGCUGGCAAACGAGCGAGCCGGCUCGCGUUCGACUCGUGUUCGGCUAAGCUUGCUCGGCUCAUUAUGAGUUCGAGCCGAACUUUACUUAAAGCUCGGAAAAUAAAACAAGUUCGAGCCGAGUAAAUUAAAGCUCAGCUCGAACUCGCUCGACUUAUAGCNUAGAGCAUGAUAGUGUAGUGACUUAUAGCGGUUGAGUUAUUUCCUGCAUUUUUCCUACUAUCCUGGCUCCCUUCUGUAGACUUAGUGGGUGGAUCGAUGUUGUUUUGGGCGGCACCCACUGAGGACUACUUGUUUUUACAGUAGUUCUCACGCCCAGAUGUUACCCCUGUUUUGCAGAGCCACAGGUUUCGGGUACUGCGCCUUUCGCGGAUCAGGAUCGAGGCAAGGGCGUCGCGAGUUAGAGCCCUACCCGCUGAGCAGAGCUAGAGGCACCCUACUACAGGUAGUUGUUUUACUUCGAGCUUAUGUACAUAGUACUUAACUCGCCAGUGCGAGUGAUGCUGUAUUUUGGAUUCUGAACUAUGUAUAUGAAGCUCAGUUUGUUUAGUUUUUGUUUACUCGAGCAGCUCUAUACUACUGUUUGUAGUAUUGUUUGAUUUACAGGUACUGAUGUCGCUUCGUAUAUAAAAAAAAUUUCUUUGUAUAUGACGGAUUUGUCGGCGUGCCCGGGGAACGAGACAUCCGGGGCGUGACACCUUAGAAAGGUACACAAGUUAAUUUCCAUAGUUCCUACUCUCAAAGACUAAUAAUCCACACUGUAUUAGGUCGGUCAACUUGGUCAACACAGACUACGAAACUCCUCUUGUCUAUAACAAGUCUUUGCUUCUCUCACUCUCUCUAACCCAUUUCAAUUUAUUUUUAUUUUUAUAAAAAGAGAGAGAGGGAGAGAGGUUAUGAAAAUAUAGAUAGGAACUAAGAAGAAGAAAAGGUGGAUACUCCAUAAAAGAUAUAAUAGAAGGAAUGGAGAGGUAUGCACAUCUCUUUAUCUCCUUCUCCUUGCCGUUCUCCUUCUUAAAUUACUCCUUGUUUGUUGAUAAGUCUAUGGCCUCACCGUUCCAACUCAACCAUGACCAACUAAACAUCAUGGUAAAUCUCUCCAAGAGCCUCUCUCCUUAUUCUAUGAGUGAGUGGAACACCACUGACCCAAAUCCUUGCCUUUGGGAGAGGGUCACUUGCUCCGCCGGCCCCUCGACCGUCAUGACCCGCCUCUCCCUCUCCUAUCUCGGUCUCUCCACUGGCGCUAAUGUUAGUGACUUCAUUAGCAUUCUUUGUCGCCUCGACACCUUACAGUACCUCGACUUCUCGCUAAACUACAGAACCACAAUUCCUUAUUCGUUUUUCUCCAAUUGCACCGGCCUCUCCAGGUUGAAGUCCCUUAAUCUCAGCUACAAUGAUUUGGGUGGCCCGGUUCGUAAUUUCUCGAGCUUUGCCAGUUUGGAGACUCUGGGCUUGUCCUAUAACUCCUUACAAGGAACUGUUGCAACCCAGUUGAGUUCCUUAUCCAAAUUGAAAAGCUUGAAUCUUGGCUCUAAUUUAUUGAUGGGNGCCUAGAUUUAGGCUCGAAAUUAAUUUCAAGCCGAAUUUGAGCUGAAAUAAGCUCGCUCGAGCUCGGCUCGUUUCCACCCCUACUCUUGCCUAUAACAAGUCUUUUCUUCUCUUACUCUCCCUAGCCCAUUUCAAUUUAUACCUCCUCCAGAUUUUUAUUUUUAUUUUUAUUUUUAUAAAGAGAGAGAGAGAGAGAGAGAGAGAAAGAGGUUAUAGAAAUAUACAUAGGAACUAAGAAGAAGAAAAGGUGGAUACUCCAUGAAAGAUAUAAUAGAAGGAAUGGAGAGGUAUGCACAUCUCUUUGUCUCCUUCUCCUUGCUGUUCUCCUUCUUAAAUUACUCCUUGUUUGUUGAUAAGUCUAUGGCCUCACCGUUCCAACUCAACCAUGACCAACUAAACAUCAUGGUAAAUCUCUCCAAGAGCCUCUCUCCUUAUUCUAUGAGUGAGUGGAACACCAGUGACCCAAAUCCUUGCCUUUGGGAGAGGGUCACUUGCUCCGCCGGCACCUCGACCGUCGUGACCGGCCUCUCCCUCUCCAAUCUCGGAAUCUACACUGCCGCUAAUGUCAGCGACUUCUUUAGCAUUCUUUGUCGCCUCGACACCUUACAAAACCUCGACUUCUCGCAAAACUACAUAGCUACGAUACCUGAUUCGUUUUUCUCCAAUUGCACCGGCCUCUCCGGGUUGAAGUCCCUCGAUCUCAGCUACAAUGAUUUGGUUGGCCCGGUUCGUAAUUUCUCGAGCUUUGUGAAUUUGGAGACUCUGGACUUGUCCCACAACUUACUAGAAGGAACUGUGGGAACCCAGUUGAGUUCCUUAUCCAAAUUGAAAAGCUUGAAUCUUGGCUCUAAUUUAUUGAUGGGAACCAUCCCCACUUUCGUCAUCGACGGUAGAAGAGUUGCGGUCUUUGAAGAGCUUGUGCUUUCGCAUAAUCACUUCACUGGCACGAUACCCAGUGAGAUUUUUGAGUAUGAGAAUCUUACUAUGUUGGAUCUUAGUACAAAUAGCCUAUCUGGGACCAUACCAGAAAAGAUUGGAAUGCUCUCCAAUUUGAAAACUCUCGACCUUUCUUCCAAUCAACUAACCGGAAGACUUCCGGCUACUUUAUCCAACAUCUCAGCCCUCUGUCGAUUCGCAGCUAAAAGAAACAACUUAACUGGAAAUAUUCCAAGUAUUUCCAAAUUUUUGUGUGUUUUGGAUCUCAGCUACAACAACCUUGGUGGGGAGAUCCCAUCUGAUCUCCUCGCAUCUCCUAAUUUGGAGUAUGUUUAUCUCUUUGGUAAUCGUCUCAGAGGGGCUAUUCCCACAAAUCUAUCUAUAGGGCUUUUCAUUCUGCAACUCAGUGGAAACCUUCUAUCUGGAAUAAUCCCGACAUCAAUAGGAAAGCUCUCGAAAUUGGAUUACUUGGAUCUCUCUUCGAAUGCGCUGUACGGCGAGCUACCAAAGGAGAUUGGUAAUCUUCAUGAAUUGGUCUCCUUGGAGCUUCAAAUGAAUAAUCUUAGCGGGGAGAUCCCAUUUGAUUUUCUUGCAUCUCCUAAUUUGGAGUAUGUUGAUCUCUCUAGUAAUCGGCNAAGUCCCUUAAUCUCAGCUACAAUGAUUUGGGUGGCCCGGUUCGUAAUUUCUCGAGCUUUGCCAGUUUGGAGACUCUGGGCUUGUCCUAUAACUCCUUACAAGGAACUGUUGCAACCCAGUUGAGUUCCUUAUCCAAAUUGAAAAGCUUGAAUCUUGGCUCUAAUUUAUUGAUGGGAACCAUCCCCACUUUCGUCACCGACGGUAGAAGAGUUGCGGCCUUUGAAGAGCUUGUGCUUUCAAAUAAUCAAUUCACUGGCAUGAUACCCAGUGAGAUUUUCGAGUAUGAGAAUCUUACUAUGCUGGAUCUCAGUACAAAUAGCCUAUCUGGGACCAUACCAGAAAAGAUUGGAAUGCUCUCCAAUUUGAAUGCUCUCGACCUUUCUUCGAAUCAACUAACCGGAAGACUUCCGGCUACUUUAUCCAACAUCUCAACGCUCUUUCGAUUCGCAGCUAAAAGCAACAACUUAACUGGAAAUAUUCCAAGUAUUUCCAAAUUUGUCAGUUUUUUGGAUCUCAGCUACAACAACCUUAGUGGGGAGAUCCCAUCUGAUCUUCUCGCAUCUCCUAAUUUGGAGUAUGUUGAUCUCUCUGCUAAUCAGCUCGGAGGGGCUAUUCCCACAAAUUUAUCUAUAGGGCUUCAAUUUCUGCAACUCAGUGGAAACCUUCUAUCUGGGAUAAUCCCGGCAUCAAUCGGAAUGCUCUGGCAGCUGGCAUAUCUAGAAUUGGAUAAUAACAAUUUGUAUUCUGAGAUACCAUCGCAACUGGGGAACUGCCGCAAUUUGGCAUACUUGGAUCUCUCUUCGAAUGCGCUGCACGGCGAGCUACCAAAGGAGAUUGGUAAUCUUCAAAAUUAUUUAGAGGUGCUGGCGCUUCAAAUGAACAAUCUUAGCGGGCAGAUACCUAUUGAAAUGCUUGAGCUACAGAGCUUGCAAGUAUUGAAUCUCGGCGGUAAUUCAUUCACGGGUGAGAUAUUACCAAUAAUUUCUAACUUCCAUCAGCUUUCAAACCUAGGCCUUCAGCGCAAUAAGUUCAUCGGGACGAUUCCCAAUUCAAUCAAUGGUUUGCAAAAUCUGAUAGAACUCAACCUGGGUAGCAACCUUUUUGACGGGCCGAUAUCUCCAAACAUUGGAGAUUUACACUUUCUAGAAAUUCUCGAUCUCUCGUAUAAUCAUUUCUCAGGUCAAGUGCCUGAUUCUCUUUCCACCAUUCCAAAUUUGACGAAGCUGGCACUUUCUUACAAUAAUCUCUCAGGGGAUCUUGAUCUCUCAAGAUUUUUGCCAUCAGUGAAUGUCGUAACCAUUGGAAAUAAGAAUCUUAUAAUUUUGAACGGAAGUGCUGAAUCCAAUUCGCCCGGAAAUGACGUUUUUGUUACUACCGAUUCGUCGAAAAGAAAGAUCAAGUUUGCCUUAGUCGUGGUUUCUUCUUUUGUGGCCGGUUUUUCGGUUUCAUUCCUCAUGUCUUCACUGACUUGGAAAUUCUUGAUUCGUAAAAAAGCAGCCGACGCACAAGAAGAAGACCGCCUUUCUGAUUUGAACAACAGGAAGAGGCUGCAGAUGGUACAGAGGCUGAGGAUGUUUCACGAACGGUACUACUUGGGACAGCUCACCACUGCAUUAGAAGCUCUUUAAUUAGGGAGUUUUUUUAAAUUUUGAAGCCCAAAAACUCUUUCUAGCUUAUCGCCGCAGUAGGACGUCUAGAUAUCUCUGUUUGCUAAAUGUGUCAAUACUGCUUCUUAGAAUAGAGAAGCAGUUCAAGGCCCAAGAGCCUCUUAAUAAUGUAUGCUAUCAUGGGACAAGCAAGGUUGAAAUUCAGAGACAGAAAACCUCUUGAUUUUUUAUGCGUGAUAAAUACAAGAAAAAAUUGAUAUGUCAUCGCAGAAUAAAAUCCAACUGAAAGUAAAAAAGAAAAAAAAAAAAAAAGGGGGAAAAACCAAAUAAUUAAUAACAUGUCUUUUCAAGAAAGAGGAAUGUGUGGCGGCUUCUUUAUAAACAUAUUUAUUAGACUAGACUAAGCAUAAAAAAAAAUUUCAACUCAGCUCAUAACAAGAUGUCGAAAACCCUGACAGUAAAGAUUGUAUAGAUAAUAUAUGUUUACUGUACCAAAACAGGUAGGUACUGCAUAUUAAUUCAUAACCAUAACCUUAAUAACUCAACAUCUCUCAGCACUUCGUAUGUAGAGAUUGCCUCAUAAACUCGCCUCCAUUUUCGCGAAAGCUGUUCAAGAACAUUAUAACUACGAAUAACAUUGUGAUGUGGAAAAUCCAACUGUAUCCAUAUCAAAAUCUUUGUUAGUUAAUUCGCGAAUUAUUCGCGAAUUUUUGAAGAAACGAAUUUAUCGGCCGUAUUCGUAUUUUUUUGAAAAAUUCAGAAAAAAAUACGUUUUUUUGGUCGAAAAUACUUAUUUGUGAAUAAUUCACGCGCCGAAUUAUUCGCCAAAAAUACGGUUCGCGCUCGCGCCUGCGCCCGCGCCCGUGCUCGAGGGUCGCGGGUCGCUGGUCUCGCGGCUCGCCCUAUAACACCCUGUACUUUUAAACUUCUUUAUUUGACUCCUAUUCUUAUUAAGUUUGGACCUUUUCGUAAAUUCCUAUCUUCGAGGGAUUCGGCGGCAUUUUGUUACUUAAUUAGUAUCUAACUUAAUUAAUUUUCUCCCUAACCCUCACCCGAUCAAUCCCUCUUUUUCCCCUCCCCUACGACUCGCUCUCUCUCUUCCUUACCGCAUCCGUACGACCUCUGUCGUUCCGCAAGUGCGCACGCGACACCAUCUGAUCGUCGCCAUCAUCCGUAGCCGCCUCCGCCGCAAUCCUCUUUGGCCGUUAUUUUUGGUUCACUAUCGAUGGCAUCCUGCCGUCAUUUUCACCAUUUUCGAGAAGGUUUUUCUUUUUCCCUUAUUUUAUCUCUAUAUCGAACCUUGUGAUCAUCCAACCUUCUUGUUUAUCGUUAUAUUAUUAUUUUGAAUACUCGCCUAAUGAUGAUCGAAAUUUAAAACUACCAAAAUCUGAUUUGCUUUGAUCUAAAUAUGUGUUAUUCGAUCUAUCAUUUUAUCUUGUAUUUCUAUCUGAUUUAGUUAUAUAAACCCUCCAUAUUCUGCAUGCUUCUUGUAACGCUCCUUACAUGUUCGAUAAAAUGCCUAAGAGAGGGCGAACUUUGUUUUUGUUUCUAAUUCCGAUCCUAUCUGAUUGUAAAUUGCCUAUUGAUAUUUCAACAUCUGAAAACCCUCUUUUCGAGCAUUAGAUCUUUCGUUUAUUAUUUAAAACUUCAUUCAUGUUAUCUUGUUUUUUGAAUAUUUUAAUCUUUGAAACUCAUCAUCCUCUUUGAUUGUUAAUUGAGUUUCGUCGAAUUUAAUAUUCUAAAUCCCUUUGUGCUCCAUCCCGACCUAUUUGCAUACCUUUAUAUCCCCUUUGCAUGUUCAUUUUGGUUAGCUUAUAGAGAAUCACGUAUCUCUAUUUUGGAUUCCGACGAUUGAAUUUUCGGCGCAUUCUCAACUGGAUAAUUUUUCUAUCUUUGAGGUAUUCGUUAAAGUAAGCGACCGAACACCCGUUAGUUUUUGUAAGAUAAUAUAGAAAAAUAUUUUGAUUAUAUGAAAAUCUUAUUUUGUAGAAUUUAAAAUUAAGGGUUAAGCAUAUUAUUAAAUAUUUCUGUAAAUUAAGUUUCAACCGUGAUUGACAAGUCCUUUUAGCAAAAUAAACUUUUGAAAUUUGAUAAUCUGCUCUGUAAAUUAAUGACUGGAUACACUUUGAAUUAUGAUGUCUCUUGGUAUUCUGCUAUGCUUAUGUUGGCCAUGUCGACAUGUACUUUGUUAUAGAAGCAAGCUUCGUCUUUGUAUUGCGCCUUCGGGUGCCUGCGCCUAUCCGCGCNUAGGGAUAAUAUUAUUAUUUUUUAUUUAUAACUAACAACUAUUCCUCUUAUUUUCAAUAACCAUCCAAACGCAAUUUUUUCUAGUUCCAACUUAUACUCAUAUUUUCAUCCAAAUAAAAAAAAAUAUCUUUAUCCUUACAAAAAUUCAUAUUUGUACACAUCCCCAGUAUAACUAGUUCCUACUAAUUCCCGAACCAAACAGUUUAGUGUUUGAGUAUAAGAAGGAGAAUAAGAGUUUAUUCCCCUCUUUAUAUCCCAUCCAAAUACCACCUAACAGAUCUUCCACUCCCAAUUUGACUCGAAAAUCAUGCCGACGAGGAUGUGUUUCCUCUCGAGGGCAUUCCACUUAGAAGUCACGAUUCGUCGCACAUUCCAUAAGCUCUUGUAUGGUAGAAAAUUCCCUCCGGCGAAAAGGGAAAGUGCUUCUGAGGCAAUCAGCUUGUCGAAGAAGCUCUACAUAUCCUUUUCACAUCAAGCAAGGCUCGAUGGUUACUUUUGCCUCCUAUUUGAAGCAGUAGACUCUUUCCCCUUUCCCAGGCAUGACAUUAGAGCUCCGUUGUACUACAUAAGCAGUUGCUGAAAUAUCAUUUCCUACCAGCUUAGUCAAAAAGCUGCUUCUAGAGGAAGCUGCAUAUCAGUCUAUUAGUGUAAUGACCUGCGCUUCGUGGCGGGAGGUCGUAAAGUUGAGAGCUAAUAAUAUGACUUUUAUUAUAUUUAUUUAUUACGAAACAUACAUAUAUAUAUAUAACAUUUACAUUAUGUAAGAUAACUAAAUAUAUAAUAUAGAUUAUCUAAUACGAUGUGAUGUCUUUAAUAAUACAAAUAUAAUUGAUAAAACAGUUCUUAGAUCAUUAUGGCCUAUCGGUUCCAUUUAAUUUCUUGCAGGUGUUAACUUUGCUUGGUCCUUUUCCAGUCUUCGAACUGCAUACGUAUGAACAAUAUCUCNUUGGAAAUAAGAAUCUUAUAAUUUUGAACGGAAGUGCUGAAUCCAAUUCGCCCGGAAAUGACGUUUUUGUUACUACCGAUUCGUCGAAAAGAAAGAUCCAGGUUGCCUUAGUCAUGGUUUCUUCUUUUGUGGCCGGUUUUUCGGUUUCGUUCCUCAUGUCUUCACUGACUUGGAAAUUCUUGAUUCGUAAAAAAGCAACCGAUGUGCAAGAUGAAGACAACCUUUCUGAUUUGAACAACAGGAAUAGGCUGCAGAUGGUACAGAGGCUGAGGAUGUUUCACGAACGGUAUUACUUGGGACAGCUCACCACUGCAUUAGAAGCUCUUUAAUUAGGGAGUUUUUUUAAAUUUUGGAGCCCAAAAACUCAUUUGAGCUUAUUGCCACAGUAGGACCUCUAAAUAUCUCUGUUUGCUAAAUGUAUAAAUGCUGCUUCUUAGAGUAGAGAAGCAGUUCAAGGCCCAAGAGCCUCUUAAUAAUGUUUGCUAUCAUGGGACAAGCAAGGUUGAAAUUCAGAGACAGAAAACCUCUUGAUUUUUUAUGCGUGAUAAAUACAAAAAAAAAUUGAUAUGUCAUCGCAGAAUAAAAUCCAACUGAAAGUAAAAAAAAAAAAAAAAAAAAAANAAUUAAUUUGUGUAUCCAUUUAUUGUAUGCUUAAUCCGACUAAUGUGGUGUAUGGUUGCUUACCCAGGUACCGAGACCGAUUUGCCGGGCGGGGCUGAGACUGAGUGAACGUUAGACGUAGCAAGUUUUGAUUUUAGUCUCUUUUGUUUUUACAUCUAGUAUUUUUGAAUUAUCUAUGAUCGUUUGUUAUCUAUUUUGUUUCGUUAUAUCUUCAUACCCACUUUUGUCACUUAUGGUAUUUUCGAACCUCUCUUGUGAUUCGUAGUAAGCUUUAGUUCUAUAGAAGUUAGAAUUUCAUUUGAUUUUAGUUAAAAUUUAAUUUCUUAGUCUCAUCCUAUGAUUCUUUGGAUUUAGUGGAAAAUUUGGUAAUCAUCUUUUGCUAGCUUUUGUCUGAUUCUAUAGCCUUGCAUAUUUGCUAGUUUAGUAGGUAUGCGGCGUCUGUUAAGCCUCGGGUUUGGGGCGUGACACGCCCAAAUCAGGAAAAAUUUAAAAAAACCCCUUUCCAAACAAAAAAAAAAACCGUUCAAAAAAAANAAUAACAUGUCUUUUCAAGAAAGAGGAAUGCGUGGCGGCUUCUUUAUAAACAUAUUUAUUAAACUAGACUAAGCAUAAAAAAAAUUUCAACUCAGCUCAUAACAAGAUGUCGAAAACCCUGACAGUAAAGAUUGUAUAGAUAAUCUAUGUCUACCGUACCAAAACAAGUAGGUACUGCAUAUUAAUUCAUAACCAUAACCUUAAUAACUCAACAUCUCUCAGCACUUCAUAUAUAGAGAUUGCCAAAAUACAUACUACCAUCCUAAUAGGCAGCAAGACUGUCAUCCAAUGCGAGAAUGCAAUAGUAGGAAGCUUCUGUAUGACUCGUUUACCUCAUAAACUGGCCUCCAUUUUCUCAAAAGCUGCUCAAGAACAUUAUAACUACGAAUAAAGUUGUGAUGUGGAAUUUGGGAGGAUAGCUGUAACAAAAAAGGAGUUCAGAGGAGAAAAGAGCUAACGACUAUUGCUGCCAUGUGGUGGGGAGUUCUUUGGCUUGAGCGGAACAGUAGAGUCUUUGAGAAUAAAAAAAGCCCGCCUAGUCUUCUAUUAGUCAAGAUCCGUUCGCUUAGAGACCUUUGGUUACGGUUUUGUCUUCUAAAUAGAGCCUGAUCUUCACCUUCUUUUUUUUUGUUUGUUUCGCCACCAGGCCCGGCUGCCUCAUACUGAGCCAAGUUCAUUUUCUUAAUGAAUAAAGCAGUGGCAUGCUACCUUCUCUCUCUCAAAAAAAAAAAAAAAAAAAACAACAUUGUGAUGUGAAAAAUCCAGCUGUAUCCAUAUCAAAAUAUGUCGAACAAAAGGAAAAGGAGAAAAUGAGCAACAAGAAGGAACUUACUGCUGUAGUUGAAUAGCUAGCUUCUCGAUUCGGUCAAACAUGUGUCAUGAGCAUUUGCCAGCAACAAGCAUCUAAGCUCAUCCCUUAAACACGGGAAAAAAAGAGACAAAUCAUGGGUGUAGAUAAGAAGAUCUUACCCAAACUAGAUAGCAUUUUGAAAUUUGUAUCUAAACUUCAAAAAUUCUGAUUUUACUGCCUAACCUUACUUUUCUUUUCAGUGUGUUUGGCACCAAAUCUAAAUGUGAUUCAGUAGAUUUCAAAAGACAAGAAUUCAGUUGAAUUCAUUUAGAAAUGAAAUCUUUUGCUUGCAAUAAAUUAUAACUCAAUUUGAAUUUCAUUCCGUAUUGUCGUGUACUUGUUAUAACCCUGCUCUCCCCGUCUUCGAUUUUCAUGUUGCAGCCCAAAUUAGCGGAUAAAAAUUUGGUGGACAUAGUUUCCAAAAAUAAUAGUUUGGGGAUCAUCUGGAUCGACGCCAUGUGACUAGCUGUACUCAUCUCAACUGUUCAAAAAAAAUAUUAUUUUUACUGGAUUAAAAUAUUUAAAAAUUUUAUUUUUAUUUGGCGAUUGAGAUGGGCUCUGCUUGCCACAUGGCGCCAAUCUGAACAAUCUCCAAAAUAUUUUUUUAAGAAUAAGAUAGCGUGCUACCCGCUUUAUUUAUUGAACUGAUGAAUUAGGCUACACGAGUGUCACAGCUGAGCCUCGAACCGGAUGGAAAAAUAAUAAUAAUAAUAAUAAUGUUUGGGGACGGACACUAGCGUGCGAUUGUGUGGGCCCCAAUGAUGGGCGUACGGAGACGACGGGGCGCAGGGGCACCGUUGAUUUCUACGUCUCGAUCGCAUGGAGCGGAGGAUGCGCGCAAGAGCCGAGUUCCGUUAUCCGAUCCUGACCGUCCGAUUAGCAGAUCGAACCUCACGGGGUUGGAAACCGAUCGCGAGGUAUCCUGCGAAAUUGGACGGGGUUGGAACCUUCUCUCUGGGGUAAUCCCGACAUCAAUCGGAAAGCUCUCGCAGUUGGCACAUCUAGAAUUGGAUCAUAACAACUUGUGUUCCGAGAUACCGCCACAGCUAGGGAACUGCAAAAUGAAAAUAGGGUUAUGAAAAAUGAAUUUGAUUAUGAAAAUUUGUAAGAUCCAUCCAUAUUGAUUUGAUGAGGGAUCUUAUGAUGACUAGACUAAUUAGAAUAGGACCACAUUGCAUUUUCAAAAUUAAAUUUUUAUAAAUAGUUAUGAAAAAAUUUAUAAGAAAAUUAUUUAUUCUAAUUUUUUUAAAAAAUUUUUGUAAGAUCUAUCCAUAAAAAUUUAAUAUUUAAUAAUAAACAAUAUGUGACGCCCCGACUUCCCAGAGGGUCACCCAUCCUAGGACUACUCCCGUCCUAGCACGCUUAACUCUCUUAAGCUCUUGGGCCUUGCCACCACCCAAAAUGCUUAAGCCGGGUUAAGAGUUUAGCCUAUUAUAUCUUAUAUAUAGGACUAUCUGGGGUCUCACAAUCUCCCCUCCUUUAAGUCCUGACGUCCUCGUCAGGCUUAGACUCACAAGUACCAGACGAUGUGAGACUCGUCCGUCAUCCAGGACACUGACUCAGCCGAGACUAUCUAACACUUCCGGCGGUAAUUGGCUCUGAUACCCGACUUCCCAGGGGGUCACCCAUCCUAGGACUACUCCCGUCCUAGCACGCUUAACUCUCUUAACCUCUUAGGUCUUGCCACCACCCAAAAUGCUUAAGCCGGGUUAAGAGUUUAGCCUAUUAUAUCUUAUAUAUAGGACUAUCUGGGAUUUCACACAAUAUGAUGAAUAAUUAAAGCAAGUUUAUGUUAAAAAUUGAUUAACUUUUAAAUUUUUUUAUUUAUCUUUACUUUUUUGGACUUUAAAAAAUUGUAAAAUACAAAUUAGGGAAUAUUACUUGUUUCCUUAAAAUUCUUAUGCAAAUUUGCAAAACUCUUCUAAGAAAAUUAUUUUUUCUUAAAAUCUUUUAGAAAAAUUGUGAGAUCUAACUAUGAAAAUUUAACAAAAAAUCAUAUGACAAAUACAUAAAAAAAUUUAAAUAUCAAUAAUGUCAAUUUAGUUUUUUGACUUUAUUAGAAUUUUUAUGUUUCUAAAUUCAAUAAUAGAAUUUUCAAAGUUAAAAAUGUCUAAAUCUCAUAUAAAAUGCUAAAUCCAUCCAAGAAAAUUAAAAAUUGGACCAUAUAAUGACUAAACAAAGUGGAUUUAUUUUCGGAUUUUUGUGAAUUGUAAAUAAAACUUUGUAAUUUUCUAUGUAUCACUGACAUUUCUAUAAGCCUCGCAUGUUCGUGUCGUACACGCGCGUCCGUGUCAUACACGUGUCUGAUGUGGACACUUUUUGAACGCACGUUUAAUGUUGAUUCAUAGCGCAUACAACUAAAAUAAAUAUAUACAUAUUUUUUUUUUACUUUUUCUAUGCAUAUAUAAUGUAAGAUGAUAAAUAUUUUAGCUUUUUGAUCAAUACAUAUAAUUUUUUUUGACAAUACAAAUAAAUUAUCUAUGGUGGAGAAUUUUUUUCUUAAAAUAUAUGAAUUAUCAAUAAAAAUUUUACUCACUUUUAUUCGUAUGAAAAAUAUAGCAAUAUUUUACUAAAAUCAAUAUUUUAUAUAUAAUAAAAAUAUAUUAUUAUAUUGAUAAUAUUAUAUUUUAUUAGUGGUGAUCAUGUCGUGUCCGUAUUCUAAUUAAUAUUUUUAAAAGCUAUCGAGUCGCGGAGUCCGAGUCAUGUCGUGUUCCGUAUUUUGUGUCAGUGCACUUUUCCUUUUCCGAGGCACGACGUUAACUCGAGUACACAGCUUGAUCGUGCUACAUAACCGGUUGCUGAAGUACCAUUUCCUACUAGCUUAGUCGAAAGCUGCUUUUAGAGAAAACCACAUAUCAAUCUAUUAUGCUGAUGGGGCUUUUGGCGGUGCAGUUGUAUAGUCCUUUUCCUUCUUCCCACACUUUUCCUGCUAGGUUAUUAUUGUAGUCACACCAUGUAUUUACAUCAAUUCUUUUUAAUUUAUGUAUCAUAUAGAACGGGAAUUUGCAUUGUUUUUGAGAAACUUGUAUACAUUUCUUAUCUAGCGGAACGAAGAUCGAUCAAAUUCACAAUUUCGCUCUAUCUUUUGCUCCAUUGAAAAAUUGUCGAGAAUCUGAAUGGUGAUCAUGCAAGGUAUCAAUUCUCUUCUAGUUUUUACUGCUUUUUUAAUUCAUUGGUCACAGAACAUAUGGCGAAAUUCUCUAUAAAUUAUUGAAUUUUAAAUUUUUAAAAUUUAACAUGGUAAAGUUUCAGUAAACACUGUAACUUCUAUUUAAUAAAAGAAAGAUGUGGUUGUUAAUUCAGCUGACGCGUCGUCUCUUACAGAUAAUAAGAUUGUUGCAAAAUUGAUGUAACAAUUAAAUUAACUCACAUGUUAUCGACACAGGUACAAAUAUGUGUACUUUUUAAUUAUGUAUUUGUACCCGUUUGGGUAUCUUUGUAUGCAUAAUAUCUGUAUCCAAAUCUAAAUCCAUCUCCAACUAGUUGAAUAAUAUCCCAUUCAUUUUCACCCCUAGAUUGGAACCCGAAAAUCCAAACCAACCUGUUUAAUCGGAAGUAUAAAAAAAGAUAAAAUUAUAAAAAAAAAAAAUACUUCUUUUCUGGUAUUUUGAAGUUUUAUUUCAAUCACUUCAGCAUGUAUGCAGCUUAUGGACAUUUCGACUUUUCUAAAACAAAGUUAAUUAAAAAAAAAUGUCACAAGGAGAGAGAAAAAUAUAAAAUAGGAAUCAAGGAGAUUAAGACAUACAGAAAGUGUGAAAAGAACCAAAAAUUCAGAGUCAAUUUCUGACCACAAGUCAUAAGUCACCAAAAGAAGGGCUUUUUUUGCAUUUAGUCCCCUAGCAAAUUUUUAUUUUAAAAUUAGCCCGGUCAAAAUUUAAUUUGCAAAAAUGAUCCUGGACCUGCUAUGCAAGCGCCACGUCAGCGCCACGCGGGCAGGACCGGGGCGCGUGUGUUAAGUUGAACACGGUGAACCAUUCACUGUGUUCAAACACGGUGAAUGGUUCGCCGUGUUGAGUACGCAUUGUUAUUGAAAAGAGAAAUAGGGAGUAGGGAUGUCAAUAGGUAUGGAUAUACGAAAUAUUAUCCGAAUCCAAACCCGAAUAAAUUAUGUAUAUAUACAUAAUUUAUUUUUAUUUAUUUAUACAAUAUAUAAAAUAUUUAAUAAUUUUUAUUUCUUAGAUUUUCAUCUAACGGUAUAGAUUUUUAAAACCCGCUGGGUUCAGAUUCGGAUUUCGAGUUUUUGGUCGGAUAUGGAUAUGGGUAUGAAUUUUUAAAAUCCGUCGGGUUCGGAUCCGGGUUUGGAUUUUAAUUUGAUUUUCGGGUUCGAGUUCGGAUUUUUGAAAAAGAGAAGAAAAGGAAUACAAAUUUUCUAUUCCUCUUUUCAAUAUACAAAAAAUACAUACCAAACACAGUGAACCAUUCACCGUGUUUAGACACGGUGAAUGGUUCACCGUAUUUAACUUAACUACCGCUCCCAGUCCCGCCCGCGUGGCGCUGACGUGGCACCUGCGCGAUAGGUUUAGGGUCAUUUUUGCAAAUUAAAUUUUGACAGGACUAUUUUAAAAAAAAAAAUUUGUCAGGGGGCUAAAUGCAAAAAUAGCGCCCAAAAAAAAAGAAAAUUUCUUGCACAUUUCUCAUGAGUGCCCCUAAAUGUCCCUCUUAGAGUCCCCAAUUUAUAUUUCAUGUUGUGAAAUAACUAAUUAGUCUAAAAGCAUAAACUGCUAGAAAACAAUAUCAUUUUUUUAAGACCAAUACUUUUUGAUAGGCACUUUACACAGUAUUCCUUUUUUAAGACUCGAGAUUUCAAGAGAAAAUAUAAAGAGACUCAAAAAGUAUUCAAACUCUGAAUUUUCUAUUCUAAUAGUAUGUGAAACAAUCAAUUACUCUCAAAGCUUAAAUUGACAGAAAAUGGCAUCCCUAAUAUCUACAUUCAUCGUGGAUGUCUACACAAGUUUAGUCUUUAUUAUCUAUGACAACUGGGGUACCUUAUGUAGUAUCAUUUUAUAUAUAUAUAUAUAUCUAUGACAACUGGGGUACCUUAUGUAGUGUCCUUAUAUAUAAUAAAUANUGAAUUUUAAAUUUUAAAUUUUAAAUUUAAUUUUAAAUUUAUGCUUUGAAUCUAAAAUAAAAAUAAAAAUUUGAAGUUUAAGUCCAAAACCAGUUUUGGAGAAGCAUCUUUUUUCUGCUUCUUAUUCUGGAGUGUUCGAAAUCAGUUUUCUAAUUCUGAAAAAUUAAAUUAAAUUUUUCAUAUGUCGUUCCCAAACAUUCUAUUGAACUCAAAAGUGAUUUUAGGCUAAGAAUCACUCCUUAGAAGCUAGGCUAAAUACCCCUUUUGGCUGUGCAGUUGUAUAGUCCUUUUCCUUCUUCCCACACUUUUCCCUUAUUGUAGUUACCCCAUGUAUUUGCAUCAAUUCUUUUUCAUGUACGUUUCACAUAGAACAGGAAUUUGCAUUGUAUUUGAAACUCGUAUACAUCUCUUAUUUAGCGGAACAAAGAUCGAAUAAAUUUAUAAUUUCGCUCUAUUUUUGGCUCCAUUGAAAAAUUGUCGAGGAUCUGAAAGGUGAUCAAUUCUCUUCUAGUAUUUACUACUUUUUAAUCCAUUGGUCACAGAACAUAUGGCGAAAUUCUCCGUAAAUUAUGUUUCUGUACCCAUUUACGUUUCUUUGUAUGUGUAAUAUCCGUAUCCAAAUCUGAAUCCGUCCCCGACUAGUUGAAUAAUAUCGCAUUCAUUUUCACCCCUAGAUUGGAACCUGAAAAGCCAAACCGACCUAUUUAAUUGGAAGUAAGUACAAAAGAAGAUAAAAUUAUAAAAAAAAUACCUGUUUUCUGAUAUUUUUAGGUUUUAUUUCAAUCACUUCUGCAUGUGUGCAACUUACCGACAUUUUGACUCUUCUAAAACAAAGUUAAUUAAAAAAAAUGUCACAAGCAGAGAGAAAAAUAAAAAAUAGGAAUUAAGGAGAUUAAGACAUAUAGAGAGUGCGAAAACAUCCAAAAAUUCAAAGUCAAUUUCAAGCUACAAGUCAUAGGUCACCAAGGGAAACAAGAGAAUUUUCUUGCACAAUUCUCGUGAGCAUUGCUAUGGACACCCCAAAGUGUCCCUCUUAGAGUCCCCAAUUUAUAUUUCAAGUUGUGAAAUAACUAAUUAGUCUAAAUGUGAGAAAACAAUAUCAUUUUUUAAGAUCAAUACUUUUCCAUAGGCCCAAGAUAAGCACUUUAAACGGUCUCCCUUUCUGAAGGCUUGAGAUUUCAAAAAAAAUAUAUUGAGAAUUAAACUCAAAGAUAUUCGAACUCUGAAUCUUCCACUCUAAUAUCAUGUGCAACAAUUAAUUACUCUCAAAGCUUAAAUUGACGGAAAAUGGUGUCUCUAAUAUCUACAUUCAACACGGAUGUCUACACAAGUUUAGUCUCAUAUACAUUUCUUAUUUAGCAGAACGAAGAUUGAUUAAAUUCACAAUUUUGCUCUAUCUUUUGCUCCAUUGAAAAAUUGUCGAGAAUCUAAAAGGUGAUCAUACAAGAUGUAUCAAUUCUCUUCUAGUUUUUACUGCUUUUUUAAUCCAUUGGUCACAUAACAUAUGGCGAAAUUCACCGUAAAUUAUUGAAUUUCAAAAUUUGAAAACUUGACAUGGUGAAGUUUGAUUUCCAUUCCAGUAAACAAUGUAACUUCUAUUUAAUAGAAAAAAGAUAUGGUUGUUAACUCAGCUGACGCGUCAUCUCUUACGGACAAUAUGGUUGUUGCUAAAUUGAUGUAACGAUUAAAUUAGCUCACAUGUUAUUGACACAGGAACAAAUGUGUGUACUUCUUAAUUAUGUAUUUGUACCCAUUUGUAUGCGUAACAUCUAUAUCCAAAUCUGAAUCCGUCCCCGACUAGUUGAAUAAUAUCGCAUUCAUUUUCGCCCCUAGAUUGGAGCCCGAAAAGUCAAACUAACCUAUUUAAUUGGAAGUAUAUCUAUACCUAUACCUAUACCUAUACAUUAUUUCUCAUGGAGUUUGCUACGUGGCAAUUCCUCCUUUACUUUCCUUCCUACUCCCUGAUGCUUCGUCUUCCCACCCUCAUCUCUACCCAAUUCUUCCUCUUCCCACCCACCUAUUUUCUAAUUAAUGUAUUCACAUGAUCCAUUUUCAUCUAAAUAAAUCGCUUCUAAAAAAAAGUAAAAUAAGAUCUUUUAUACUCCUUUUUAUCACAUUUUUUCUUUUUUCUUUUUUUUUUUUGCACAAGAAGGGUUCAUUUUUUGUAUUUUUCUUAAUCUUUUUUUCUAUUUUUUUAAAGUGUGUGGAGAUUGAAAUUAGGGUUCCAAGGAUCACGGCGAGGUGAAGUGCGAUGGAUUUAGAGUUGAUGAAAGGGAAGAAGCCGUGACUGUGGGGGAAUCCGUACGGCAUCGACGUGGCUGUAACCAAGAAGAAGCUCGACGCCGACAAUGACGGUGGAGGCAAUGUGGAGAAUGGGAAUCGUCUCCCCGAUCUCAGCAGCGCGACCAAGGUGCGUAUGUAGUAGUAAUUCUAUUACCGCUUCUUUCAUUAUUGUUAUAUAUAAUUUAUUUGUUGUUAUAAGUUUUGUUAUAUUUGUACAUAUCUGUUUUAUAUUUUCUAUCCGUAUUUAUUGAUAUCUCAUGAUAAGUUAAAUUUUUUAAAAUUUUAACUCUUUUAAUCUUUUAUUUUUUAUAGAAUUAGUCUGCCGCAAUGCGCAGGUAAUUUUAUAAAAAAAAAAAUAUGUAGUAAAAAAGAUUACUCGUUUUCUGAUAUUUUGAAGUUUUAUUUCAAUCACUCUGCGUGUGUGCAGCUUAUUGAGACUUCAACUUUUCCAAAACAAAGUUAAUUACAAAAAAAUGUCACAAGGAGAGAGAAAAAUAUAAAAUAGGAAUCAAGGAGAUUAAAAAGUCACAAGACAUAGAAAGUAUGAAAGAUUCAAAAUUUCAGAGUCAAUUUAUGACAAGUCAUAGGUCACCAAGAGAAACAAGAGAAUUUUCUUGCACAUCUCUCAUGGGCAUUGCUAUGGGCACACCCCUAAGUGUCCCUCUUAGAGUCCCCAAUUUAUAUUUCAAGUUGUGAAAUAACUAAUUGGUCUAAAACAGUAUCAUUUUUUAAGAUCAAUACUUUUCGAUAGGGCCAAGAUAAGCACUUUAAACAGUACCCCUUUUUUAAGGCUCGAGAUUUCAAGAGAAAAUAUAUUGAGAAUUAAACUAAAAAAUAUUCAAACUCUGAAUCUUCUACUAUGAUAUUAUGUGCAACAAUCAAUUACUUUCAAAACUUAAUUAAAUUGACAGAGAAUGGCGUCUCUAAUAUCUACCUUCAACACGGAUGUCUACAUAAGUUUAGUCUUUAUUAUCUAUGACAAUUGGGGUACCUUAGAAAAGUACACAAGUUAAUUUCCAUAUUUUUCAUCUCUCUCAAAGGCUAAUAAUCCACAGUGCAUUAGGUUAGUCAACUUGACCAACACAGACUAUGAAACUCCUCUUGCCUAUGACAAAGUCUUUGCUUCUCCCAUUCUCUCUAAUCCAUUUCAAUUUAUAAAUACCUCCUCCAAAUUUUUAUUUUUAUUUUGUUUUAUAAAAAGAGAGAGAGAGAGAAAGAGGUUAUAGAAAUAUACAUAGGAACUAAGAAGAAGAAAAGGUGGAUACUCCAUAAAAGUUAUAAUAGAAGGAAUGGAGAGGUAUGCAAAUCUCUUUAUCUCCUUCUCCUUGCUGUUCUUGUUCUUAAAUUACUCCUUGUUUGUUUGUAAGUCUAUGGCCUCAUCACUCCAACUCAACCAUGACCAAAUAAACAUCAUGGCAAAUCUCUCCAAGAGCCUCUUCCCAAAUUCAUACCAUAACUGGAACACCAGUGACCCAAAUCCUUGCCUUUGGGACAGGGUCACUUGCUCCGCCGGCACCUCGACCGUCGUGACCGGCCUCUCCCUCUCCAAUCUCAGUAUCCCCACUGCCGCCAAUGUCGGCGACUUCUUUAGCAUUCUUUGUCGCCUCGACACCUUACAAAACCUCGACUUCUCGCAAAACUACAUAGCCAUGAUACCUGAUUCGUUUUUCUCCAAUUGCACCGGCCUGUCCGGGUUGAAGUCCCUCGAUCUCAGCUCCAAUGAAUUGACCGGCCCAGUUCGUAAUUUCUCGAGCUUUGCCAGUUUGGAGACUCUGGACUUGUCCUAUAACUCCUUACAAGGAACUGUUGAAACCCAGUUGAGUUCCUUAUCCAAAUUGAAAAGCUUGAAUCUUGGCUCUAAUUUCUUGAUUGGAACCAUCCCCACUUUCAUCGUCGACGGUAGAAGAGUUGCGGUCUUUGAAGAGCUUGUGCUUUCGCAUAAUCAAUUCACUGGCACGAUACCCAGUGAGAUUUUUGAGUAUGAGAAUCUUACUAUGCUGGAUCUCAGAGGAAAUAGCCUAUCUGGGACUAUACCAGAAGAGAUUGAAAAGCUCUCCAAUUUGAAAACUCUCACCCUUUGUACGAAUCAACUGACCGGAAAAGUUCCGGCUACUUUAUCCAAUAUCACAACGCUCUUUCACUUCGCAGCUGACGGAAACAACUUAACUGGAAAUAUUCCAAGUAUUACCAAAUUUUUCGGUUUUUUGGAUCUCAGCUACAACAACCUUAGUGGGGAGAUCCCAUCUGAUCUUCUCGCAUCUCCUAAUUUGGAGUAUGUUGAUCUCUCUGGUAAUCGUCUCGGAGGGGCUAUUCCCACAAAUUUAUCUACAAGGCUUCAUCGCCUACGACUCAGUGGAAAUCUUCUCUCUGGUGUAAUCCCAACAUCAAUAGGAAAGCUCUCGAAAUUGGCACAUCUAAAAUUGGAUCAUAACAAUUUGUAUUCUGAGAUACCAUCACAACUGGGGAACUGCAGCAAUUUGGAACUCUUAGAUCUCUCUUCGAAUGCGCUAUACGGCGAGCUACCAAAGGAGAUUGGUAAUCUUCAAAAAUUAGAGGUGUUGGCACUUCAAACGAACAAUCUUAGUGGGGAGAUCCCUGUUGAAAUGCAUGAGCUACAGAGCUUGUAUAGAUUGAAUCUCAGUAGUAACUCAUUCACAGGAGAGAUAUUACCAACUAUUUCUAACUUUCAACAGCUUGCAUUCAUAGCCCUUCAGCACAAUAAGUUCUAUGGGUCAAUACCCUAUUCAGUCAACGGUUUGGAAUCUCUAAACGAACUCUACCUCGGUAGCAACUAUUUUAACGGAUCGAUACCAUCGUCCCUCGGUGAUUUACGCUAUCUAGAAAUUCUCGAUCUUUCAUGUAAUAAUUUCUCAGGUAAUGUACCAGAUUCCCUUUCCUUCAUGAAUAGAUUGAUAGAGUUGGUGCUUUCUUACAAUAAUCUCUCAGGACAUCUUGAUCUCUCAAGAUUUUUGCCAUCAGUGAAUGUCGUAACCAUUGGAAAUAAGGAUCUCAUAGUUCUGAAGGGAAGUACCGAAUCCAAUUCGCCCGAAAAUGGUGUUUUUGUUACAAACGAUUCAUCAAAAAGAAAGAUCCUGGUUGCCUUAGCCGUGGUUUCUUCUUUUGUGGCCGGUUUUUCUGUUUCAUUCUUCAUGUCUUCACUGACUUGGAAAUUCUUGAUUCGUAAACAAGCAGCUGAUGUGCAAGAUGAAGACAACCUUUCUGAUUUGAACAUCAGGAAUAACCUGCAGAUGGUACAAAGACUUAGAAGGUUUCACGAACGGUACUACUUGGGACAACUCACUACUGCAACAUAAGCUCUUUAAUUAGGAGUUUUUAAAUUUUGAAGCCCAAUAACUCAUUCGAGCUCAUCGUCACAGUAAGACCUCUAGAUAUCUCUGUUUGCUAAAUGUGUAAUAGAGAAGCAGUUCAAGGCCAAAGAGCCUCCUAGUAAUGUAUGCUAUCAUGGUAGAUUUUUUAUAUGUGAUAAAUACAAGAAAAAAUUGAUAUGUCAUCGCCGAAGAAAAUCCAACUGAAAAUAGAAGGAAAAAAAAAGAGGAGAAAAAUAACAAACAAUAGCAUGUCCAAUCGAGAAAGAACGAUGUCCGCUGGCUUCUUUAAAAACAUAUAUUGAACUACGAUAAGAAUUUUCAACUCAGCAUAUAUCAAAGAAACCAAUAACCCAACAAAUCAAGAUUUUGUAUGCAUAACAUGUAUAGCACGCGACCUCAUGCACACAAACAAACAAAAGCGCACUUACACACAUAAAGAGAGGGAAAGAUAAGAGAUACACGUGUGCGCGCCCGCUCACACACACACACACACACAAGAAGAAAAAAAAAAACAUUUCUAUUAAAAACUAUUUUCAACCAUUCACAAAAAAAAAACCUGUUCUAAAGUCUGGUUUGCUAGGGCUUUAAAGGGUACCUGAAAGGCCCCAAGGUGAGCAGAGUGCGUCCGCAAAAGACCUGCAAAUCCAAACACACACACACACACAAGUCCCAGGACGGGCGGAGUGCCCCUAUGGGGUAAAAGAUCUGCAAGUCAGAACGCAUGCGCGCGCACACAUAAAAAGAAAAAGGAAGAUUGCAGACCAAACACAACCUUGAAGCCUCACAAAUUUACACAAGCAUUAAAAUAAGAAAAGAAAAAAUUUCUAGAACAGGCUACUUAAUUUCAAUAUUUUUUCAAAAAAGUUUAAAAUAUUAUAGACAAAUCUCAAAAGUUUGAAAGAUUACAAAUGCCCCAUAUGUGAUAGCAUCUGUGAAAAUCUCAAAAAUAUUUCCAAGGUAAACAAGUGAAUUUAUGAUAUGACAUCUUUAAACUGCGCAGCCUUGCAGGGCAUCUAUUAAUUUUAGGUCCUGUGAGGGAGGGUUGAAAUGUAAUUAAAAAAAAAAUGUAUACUACAAAAAUAAUUUCUCCAAGUUGAACUAUUUCAAUAAACUGGAAUGGAACAACUUUACAACAGAGCUGGGAAACAGCAUUAAUGAUUGUGGUGGGGAGGGGAAUGAAAAGUAUAAAUAAAGCCCCAAAAUGCAUGAAAUCUCCUGUCAUUAUACUAUUUCACUUUUCCACCUAAAGUGACUGAAACCUCGAUAUGUUAUAGCCCAUUAAAACUAGAACUUUUCAUCAUUUUGCCUCCUUCAAUUAGUGUCUCUGAGGCAAUAUCUACCACUUUGCUCAUAGCUGAAUAGAUCAGAACGCAUAGACUUAAAUUUCAAAGGGGCGACGCUAAACUCACGGUGUUUUUGUAGAGGGCGAAAAUAUCAGCCACAGAAAUGCAUCGAAAUUACGCAGUGGUUGCUUGCAUAAUGUCACCCACAGAGGAGCUCGCUUCUUCAUUCUCAGCUGGAAAAGAUCUUAACAACUCUUGUUUUCUCCUUUCAUUGGCUUUUCUCCGAUUCGUUUCCACCCAAAUGAGGAGAGCCGUGAUAUCCGCUGGGCUCACGCCGCCGACCCGGCUUGCUUGGCCUAUUGUUUGUGGCCUUACCUGCAAAUAAAGGAGAGUACAUCCAUAUGACUAAGUUAAUAAUCACAACUUGUUUUAAAUUACAAACUAGUUGUUUCUUCAAGGAAAAUAACAAGUUGGGGGAAUUGCUUGGUCUACUAUGAAAUGCUUUCACUCCAGGUUUGUUCGACUUAAAAGCGCUUCUCUUAGAUGAUUUCGUGGUUACACUUCAAAAGGAAAAUUUCUCCCCUUUUUUGGGGGGAAAUUAAAUUCUUAUUGGAACACUCUUUUUUCACUGCUCAAUUUGAGAAGCAACUCACACUGAUAUCUACAAGUGAAAGUUCACAUAAAAAACUGUUUCAAGAAAAAAGAUGGAAAUUUUGCGCUAAAUGCAGUAGCUGCAUACGUUAUCAACGACCAGGAACUUUUCUUUGAGCUGCAUACCUUGGAAAGUUUCUCGCGAGCUUCAAGCGAUAAGGUUGUCAUUGAAUAAUAAUCCAAGUCCUCAGGAAGUGCUUUGUGUUGCUGAUUAACAAUCUAAAUCAAGAAAAUAAAAGUAAAGCAAAGUUAAACGACAUCUCAGAAAUUUGUCUUAGCACCAUAAAUAUUUCCUUAUCAAGCUAGUCUAUUAUCUGAAUAAACAGUAGAAUGGUGAAAACGAUGGACAUACGACAAUAUUUAUGAAUAAUCUUAAAUUUCAAAAUUAAAGCUAUGAAAUAAAAUAACAUGGCAAUUAGCAAGAGUAUAGAAGAGAGGGUUUUGUCCAAAAGAAAACCCAUUUAUUUCGAAUUUGCAAAAAGAAAAACCGGAUAUCUAUGUCAUUUUUCCAAUUUUACCGGACUUUACAAUUUUUAGGACCAAAUUGCCCCUCAGUUACAGAAUCAUGAUUCACAGCUUUGAAGGACUAAUGCAAAGUUUAAGCCUUUCAAGUUAAGAGAAAGAAUUAUUACGAAAGAAUUAUUACGUAUCUUUCAAUUAUUUAUACACCAAAGUACCUGCUGUAGUUGGCUUUUCUGCCGCGUUAUGAAUCCUUCAUACUUGAUAUCAAUCUCGACACAUUCUUUUUCACUCCUUGAAAGAAGCUCAUUCCCAUAGCCGUGCUUGUCAAGAAGCUUAUACUGUACAUGUGGCUUCUUUAGAAUGCUUUCCAACGUAAAGGAAUCUUUCACAGGCUGUCCAGAUACAGUAGAUACCUCAGAAGCAAAUUCCCCUCCUGUAACAACAAAAACAUACCCAAAACAAAGAAACCAGUUGAAGCAAGCUCAAACAAAAUCUAGAAAGUCAAAUGAUAUUUUCACAUAUGCUAAAAUAAUGUCUAAUUUUGUGUCUUUGCAAACUCAGAAUUUUCAUUCAUGCUGUUUAAGAACUUAGUUUCACACCCGUAUGCGCUUGUCUCACAGUUAUCCUGCUCUCUGGGGAAGCAUUUUAUACUACAAACCAACUUACCCCAGGAAUCAGAUGAGUUCAUAACUUAUCAUAUGGGUACCUUUCAUAGGAUACUGCACCUUCGAGGAGUAUAUAUGAAAAAUUGUAGUUUAGAAGGGUAUGAAUGUAAAUAAAUGAUUUUGCAGGGAGCUACAUACACGCCAAAAUUAUAGAAUGUUGAAAAGAAGUUGGUACAUGGUGAAUGUUUACCUGAAACCCGCGCAGACUUCAGGCGUUCUUUCUCGUCCGUAAUGCGGGCUUGCUUUGAUUUGUAAAGGUCCCAUCGUCUAUCAUCUAUUAAACCAAUCUCACGUCCCAAAGGAGUUAACCGGCUAUCAGCAUUAUCAGCACGAAGAAGAAGUCGGUGUUCUGAGCGGCUGAAGAGAAAUAAUAAUCAAUGUAAAAGGCAGGAAAAAUAUUAGUAAUGAGAAAUUAUGAGCUCACAGGAGGCUUAUAUGCACUAAACAUAUCAUGAAUUUUAAGUAAUCAGGCAGAGAAAAAUUAACCAAGCAAGGAGUAAAGUUCAAGCCCGGUGAAAUGCAAUUCACUUGUGAAAAAGACAAAUCCCUAGAUGUUUCAUGAACAAGAAACAUAUUGAAACAAAAGAAAGGUACAGAGACUACGUGAAUGAUAGCGCAAUUUGAAAUGGGUAGUUGAAACUUUUCUAGUUCAGUAGUACCUCAUUCGUUUUUCUUGAUUUCAGUACCUCUCUGUUAAGUUCUGCCUGAGCUAAAUAGUUUCACUGUUUCAGCUUUCGGUCAGAAAGAAUUAAUGGAUUUUUCAUCAAGUAACAAAAUAUCUCGUUUGGCCAAAGAAUAUUCAAAAAAUUACAAAUAUCAUUAAACCUUGAUGGAGAUGCAGUAAAAUCAAAUACAGCAAAAUGUUGGGUACUGAAAUCCAAACUUUUAGAGUUCACGUUCCCAUCUCAGAAGUAGAGUUCAUGUUCCCAUCUCAGUACUUUGUCUUGUUCUAUUAAUACAAUCGACUAAAAUCUAGUAACCACAAGUCUUUUCCUUCAUUUCAAUUUUCUUUUGUUGAAAAUUCAUUUCUGUUGUUAAAUCGCCAACUAAACAUUCAAAUUCUUGACCCGUCUAAUUAAUUGUCAUGAUUGUAUUAUAGAACUUUCCAGUUCAUCAGCAAAAAAACUGAAUUUUACAAAAUUCCAGCAAAAACCCUACUCUGCUCUUAGCUCCUAGUCCUUCUUUAGUUCCUACCAACCAAUUCGCGCUUUUAUUACAUCACUUUCAAAUAAGCAUACAAAUAAUGAUUUAAUAGAAAGAUAUUUUUACCUAGUUAACAUACGAUAUGGCUCUCGGAGAUCUUUUGUGACAAGAUCGUCUAUCAAAGUGCCUAUAUAGCUGCUUUCUCUCUCUAGAAUAAUAACGGGCUUCCCAUCUGCAUGCCUCGCAGCAUUAAUUCCAGAGAUAAUACCCUGAAGAUCAAUUAAAAGCACAGCAAGAAGCUGAGAAGCAAUGGAAGAAGAGAAAUUUAAACUUUCUUGUGCACGCUACGCUCACAUGGUGGAAGUAGAAAGACCCAGUCCACUACUUAGGCAUAGUUCUAAUUACAAAUCUUAGUAUUUGUAGGAAUUAGAAAAAAUAAAAAGCAAGAUGAUUACUUUUAUACCGGUGAAUAGUUACACAGUAAACAACUAUCUAUUUACAUUUACAUCCCUGUGAUUCUGAAUUUUCACAGAUACCGUUAAGAACCUUAGGUUCUUACAUAUAUACCCAUGUGCUUAAAGAAUGCCCCUCGUUUUUCUGUUAGGCAACCAGCUUUCCCACAUGAAUUAGAUGACUUUCCAACUUAGCAUAGAAGAUUUUUGUAUAAGACAGCAUUUUUUAGGGAUUUAGUAAGAAAAAACCCAACUUUUCUAGAGGUGUAUAUAUAUAUAUGGAGAGAGAUAGAUAGAUAAUUUUGCAGUUAUAUAGAUGUAAAAUCCCUUGAGAGAAAAUGACAGUACCUGAGCAGCAGCUUCUUCAUAGCCUGUUGUUCCAUUAAUCUGACCAGAGAAGAAUAAACCUUCAAACUUCUUUGUCAUGAGUGAUCUCGAACACUGAUGAGCCGGCAAAUAGUCAUAUUCCACAGCAUAGGCAGGUCUUAGCAUUACACAAGUCUCAAGUCCUGGUAAUGUUCUUAGGAGUGGUAGCUGCAACCUCUCAGGUAAACCAGUCGAAAAGCCCUAGUAAAGAGGAACGAAGAAUAUUAUUUGAUUUACAAUCUCUGACAAUGUAUUUUGCAGUUUGUAGAAGCAAUUUAUGUGAUAAAUGUAGGAUCUUAUUUCAUAAUGAGACUAAUCUAGUUUCUCAUAGAUGAUUAUAUACUGUUGCGUUCAACUUAUCAUUGUGGGAAAAUGAAAGAAAAUGACAAACAGGCAAGUAAAUUUUACACAAUUGAUUAUAUAAAUGUAAUGGAAAAAAAGAGAUAAAGGGGGAGGAAUAACCUGCACAUAAAGCUCUGGAACAUUUCUGCCCUCUGGUUCAAGAAAAAUCUGGUGGGACUCUUUAUCUUGGAAUCUUACAAUCUGAAAUCGAAAUCACUUCUUUUUCAAGACUGUCGCCUUUCAAAUUCUAAAAACUCAAUUCUGGGUAAUAACUGAGAAAGAAAAAAAAAACUCUUAAUUACAUACACAAUGACAAAUAAUGCUCUGCCACGAAUAAUAACAAUAAGUUUCUAGAGCAAGUGGCAAAUGGCUUGGUGGUUGGUACCUGAGGUCCCAAGUUCAAAUCCCAAUUGAUUCACAUUUUCAGCUAAGUUUACUUCUAAAUGAAAUAAACGAAGCAGGUAGUGUGCUACCUAUCUCUCAAAAAAAAAAAAAAUGAAUAAUAACAAUAAGUUGCAGUUUAAAUGCUACAUUCAAUAAUCAUAUUUUUUAGAACAAAAAAGAACAGUACUUUUGACUUUUCAAUUUAAAGAUAAAUGGCAGUCACACGACAAAUAAGUGACAAGCCUCUAUUUAUCAUCUUGCUCCUAUUAACCCACCUAUUUUGAAACUUUUAGAUUGCAAGUUUUUCAAACGGAUGUAUUGACAGAAAAGACAUAGGGCUUCGCAUAAAUAAGAAAGCAAAAAAGAGUGAAAUUCAAUUCUUGUUCUAUAAGUCAUUGGUCUUUUGAAUUGGUGAGAAUGAGCAUGAAACAAUGCAUAGUCAUGGAAGGAUAUACUAUAAUGUAACCAAAGAAAAGAGGUUCCCAAGGCUAGUUCAUCCCAUCUGAAAUAGUGGGAGAGAAAACAAAGUAAAGAUUGUGGAACUCUUCUUCUGCAGUUCUUCAAACUAAAAGAAAAUUUAUGAGAAAAGAAAACAAUACAGAAUCACCUACAUUAUUCAAUCUAUAUGAGCCAAUAACUGCAAAUUUAUACCUUAUCUUCGAUAGAUGGGCAGUAUCUUGGCCCCUUCGCUUCAACCCAGCCACCAUAGGUUGGUGUUUCGUGUAAGUUGUCUCUAAUAAGCUGAUGGGUCUCCUUUGUUGUUCGUGUCAAAUAGCAACACAUUUGAUCUCUUUCAAUGUGGAAAUCAGGAUCAAAGCUAAACCAGCUUACCUGUUUUCAAAAAGCCACAUCACUCAGACAUGCAACAUAAAGUUAUUUCCUUAUAAAGAAACAAUUGAAAAAUAAAGAAAAAAAUAAAAGGCUUUUUGUUGUCUUCGCAUCAAAUAUUCAUAUGAUAGAUUCACAGAAUAUAUUUACUGAUGUCAGAAAAAUUAACACAAAAAGGUUGAUAUGUGAAUAUCAAGCAAGCCAGUUGAAGAUAUAAGACAACCAGAAUAUUUUGAUUGUCACUGUUUCCUAUUUGUUGACAAUCAUAAAUAUAUAUAAUCCAAAUAUGGAGUAAGCUCCGAAAUAAGCUUUUGCAUUGUCAUUCGAAUUUCUUCCAAAAUUACUUUUCUACAGAAUAUCCACACAUUAUUACAGAAGAAUAUUAUAAAAGUUGUACGCAUUCAACCAAAAUUACUUAAAAGGCAAGAAAGCUUGAUCAUGCUGCUUCUUCCUAUAGGUGUAUAAAAAAUAAAAAUAAAAUAAAAUAACUGAAAGCAUUACAAUUAGUCUAUUAGCUCCAAGCUUAAGCAGAAAGCAGAAUUAAGAAGCAUCACCUCUGAAAUGGACAAAAUAGAGGUAUAUAAUACCUAUGUAAACUCUAUAUCCACCAAUCAGUGCAUAUUUGGCCUAACUUUUGAAAAGGACUCGCUACUCCAAAAGACAAAAGUGUCAGUAAGCUAGAAUGAGCUUCUAAGCCCUAAAACCAGAGACUACAAUUUGAAGCUUCUACUAAAGCUAGAAGCUCUUUGAGGGGAGGGAGUUAAUGAAAAAGAUGUUACUACAUUUUAGAACAACUUAAAUUAACAAUGCAGCUUUAACCGGCCCGAACAGGACUUCAGUAAUAAACAAAACAAGAAUUAAUAUCAAUAGUAUACCUCUUCAUCCCCAUGCUGGGGCUCGAGACCAGAAAAGUCAACAGUUCUCAAGUCAACUCGUGCUGGAGUUCCAGUUUUUAGUCGAUCAGUUUCAAAUCCCAGAUGCUGCAAGUUUUCAGUAAGCCCAUGAGAAGCCGACUCGCCAGCUCGCCCUGCAGACAUUGACGCCCUACCAACCCAAAUCUUACCGCUCAUGAAUGUUCCUGUCGUGAGUACGACAGAAGGAGCAUAGAAGUUCAUUCCAAAGAAAGUGCAGACACCUUCCACACUGUCAUUCUUGCCUACUAAAACCUCUGUGACCAUAGCCUCUCGGAUAAAUAGGUUCGGAGUGCUAAAAUGGCAGAACAGGUUAGAAUUUUCAUAAAGAAGGCUUACUAGCAAAGAAAUUAGGGGGUUGUACUUAUAUCUUUUCACAGAAUCAUCGAUUGACACAUAUACCCUAUACAAGCAAAAUUUUCAUAUGUACCUGUUGACGUAUAGUAUAUUAUAAAAUAAAAUAAAAUAAAAUAAAAAAACCCUUAAAUUUGGGAGUCAUCUAAUUCAUGGGGAAAGCUGGUUUUUUUUAUAUUUGGGAAUAAGGCAUUUUUGUAAGUACAAGGGCAUAUAUGCAAACAAAUUAAGUUUUUAAAAGGUAGAUAUGAAAAGACAGAUUCUGCAGGGAUAUAAACGCAAAUUGAUAUGAUUGUAUGUAUAUACCAAUACAUGCUAUAUAGGCACCAAACGGAAACUCUCAAGCAGGAAUUCAAACUGGAGCCUUGCAAUUCUACACCAUAGGUGGAAGACAUAGCACAUAGAAAAUAUAAAAUAUUGUUUCAGUGCCAACCUUUCAACAACUUUCUUCAUCUCCAUAGCAUACUCCCUUUUGUCAGUCUGAGCACGCAAAGCUCGAACAGCAGGGCCUUUCGAGAGGUUCAAAACACGCUUUUGUAAAUAGCAUCUGUUAUGGCAAAUUAACAAGAAUUUACUGGUGUUCUUUAUAGAAAGAUGUAUCAGAAAAAGGUUCCAGUUCCUAUAUUUAGAAUGACAAAAAAUAUGCUGAUCUACUAAAGAUAGCAAAGCAGGUUCAUUCCAAUUUAAAGGAACUCUUAUUUGUUCUAAAGGUAAGUUUGAAUGUUGGCAGUUGUUCUUACAAAUUUGAUCUGAACAGUGUUUGAAAAGACGCGAGGCGCGGAGAGGCGCAAGACUUUCCUGGAGCCUAGGGCCGAGGCGCACUGCGAGGCGCGCGCCUCACGAAGGUAAAGCGCACAUCUACUAAGCCUAGUUUAAUUUGAUAUUCUACAUUAAAAAAAUCCCAAAAUAAUUAUAAAAAAGUAAAGAAAACACAUGCAUAUAGUUUAAUUUGAUGUUCUUGCUGACGCUGCUGCUGUUUUCGCUGCUGCUACUUCUUGUUUUCCUGUUGCCACUGCUACUGGUUGCUUGUUCUGGCCUCCGCUAGUUUGUUGCCGCUACUUUCUGCUGCUAGCACAGCUGCUAUUGAUGCUCAAUAGAAAGAGGAUGUGGGAGAACAAGAGACCGAGAGGAGGGGGUGAGCGGCUAAUUUUUUUAGGGGUUUUUUUGGGUUUCUUUCAAGAUUUUUUAAGUAUCUUAUUGGGUUUAAAGUAUAAGAUGCAAAUUCAAAACCCGACAAUCCGAAAACUUGAAUUUUUUUGGAUUUCUUUCAAUAUUUUUUAAGGAUCUUAUCGGGUUAAAGUAUAAUAUGCAAAUUCAAAAUCCGACAACUCGAAAACUUGAAUAAAAAAUUCCUGAAAACUUGAAUAUUGCGAGGAGCGUGCCUCAAGCACGCCUUUUCAAACACUGGAUCUGAAUCAAUAAAAUAAUAUAUCUACCAUGUUAAAUGUUGAUGGUCGUUAUAAAUAAACUUCAUUCUAAGCAUUUAAGCAGCACCAAAAUUAAGAUCCAACAACAUCACUUAUCGGUGUCAAAUGAAGCAAGAUCAGUUUGAGUUUCUACCUAUCAGCAAUUUUCCCUAUUUCACCACCAAGGGCAUCAACCUCAUGCACCAGUUGAGAUUUUGCAGGUCCACCAACUGCUGGAUUGCAAGGCUGAGUAGAACAAAAAUAAAAGGAAAGGAAAAUUUCGGAGUUUACAAUCAUAUUAGAACCUCAAGAAUGUAAAGAAUGCGUCUCGUUUUCAUGCAGUUCACUAGAUAAGGCACCUCGUAAUGAGAGAAGACGGAAUUGAAUGUGUAAAAACAUAACUCAAAUACCAAUCUAAGAAUAUAGGAUAUAAAAGGAACCAACAGAGAUCUUUUUCGAAUAUUCACAGCAUCUAGGGCCAGAAUAGCCAAUAUGCAUGCGCACCUAAUAAUCCAAUGUAAUUUAUUCAGCAAUGCCUUUCCAAGUUUAUGCAUCAAGUCAUCAGCCCCCUUAUUUACCAAUAGUUCAUAUUUUGAAAGACACAAAGAAAGGCCUAUUUCUAUUGCAACAAUUUUCACUUGAAAGGCUAAAUCGAUCUACUGCAGCAGUUCUGAGCCCAACAUUUUCACUUUAAACGAUAAACAGCAAAACUCUAUUUUCCAUGGAAUCAUUUUGAAUCUUGAAUACUCCCAUAAAAUUGAUAAUUGAUAUAAUGAAAAAGCUUCUUAUCAUGGUUUCUAUGAUUAGUAGUUAUCUCAGCAGUUUAGGUGUUCUUCAAGGAACGACAACAUUUGAAUAACUACUAUUUAGCUAUUCAUAACUCCUUAACGCCUACAUGAUCACAAUGAACUUAAUUUCUUUUAGUAUUCACCUUCCGACGACUUCAAACUUGUACUCAGCAGGUGCAUCACUAACUCUAAACUCUCAUUGUUUCAAUAUGAAAAAUCAUUUCUAACUAUCUCUUGUUUCAAUUGGAACAUCUUAAUCUGAAUAUAGAACAAGUACCUCACCACCAGUCCCAAUACUUUUGAAGGAACUUCAAAUUAUACUCUGUUAUAAUACAAACAAACAAUAAUAGCAGGAAGACUGAGAAAGGUGCCUCUUAAGACAUAAAUUGAGGUGAAACAUUAAGUCUUUUAAGGUUUCUUUUUUUCACACAAAGCAACAAUAAACAAAAAAAAGAGAGAGAAAAAUAAUAAAUCUACAUUCAGUGUUAAUCUAGACCUGCCAUGCAAUUCGAUCAAUGUUGAGGGUAAGAAGAAGAGUCCGGGCCCCAAGCCGGGCAGAUGCCAAUGCAGCCUCACAGCCUGCAUGCCCUCCUCCGACAACAAUUACAUCAUAUCGCUCUUCAUUUGCUUCCACCUUAUCUUUCCCAUCUGUGUAGUACAAAAUUAAACACGAUACUUUCUGUCAGCUUUGCAAAACUAAGGUCUUACAUGGUUACAUUUUCAAUUUUUUUUGUCCUUUCAACUGAAAUUCAACACAAGGGAGUGUGCAUGGCGGAUGGAUUUCUUUAUUUUCAUUACUGUUGGUUAUGUUACAAAGCCAUCUUGUUUAAGGAAAAAAUAAAAUAAGAGAUAAUUGUUCCUACUACUUUUUUUAAAAAAAACAAACACCAUUGUUGCAGAGAUUGCAAACAAUCUGUCAUCAGACUACGCAAAGCAUGGAAUUAAGUGAAAGAGAAAAAAAAGGGGGAAAAAAUGUAAAAUUGAUGCAUAACCAAACAAGGCCUAAAUAUGUCACCUACUUCUCAUGCUUUCCAGAUAAUUUAAGCGCCUAUCUUUUCUUAAGAAGAGUGUAGACAAUUAAAAUUCACCAUCAACUACCUUUUUAAUAUGACCAUGUUUUCAAAUACAGGAAAGAUAAUUGGGGAUAUAAACACAAGUUUUAAGAUAUAAUUAUUAUUUUGCUUCAUUCUGCACAAACUAUUUCUCAAAAUUUGAUGGUUGACGCACUCUGCCGGUGCUUCUAAUUCACAAUAUGUUUCAAAACUCAGAGUCAUCACUUUGGGCCUAUCUAGGCCUUCUAUAGAAAUCGAUGCUCUUUGAGUAGAUUCUUCAGAAAAGCCCCACUAGUUUUUUAAUUAGUAAGUCCCAAAAGCUUCCUGCUGAAGUUAAACUUCAUAUCAGAGCUUCUGCAUUCAGCUCCAGAAGCUCAUUCAAGUUUCUCAUUCCAUCCAGAAACCCUAGAAUCUCGAUUUUCUUUUUCUUUUUCCUUCUUCUUUUCCUUUCCCAUAGUUUGGCUUCAGCUUCUCGAAUAGAGAAGCUGUUCAAGGAGCCAGAAUUUCUCAAAAAGAACGAUUCAAAAACCUCAAACCGCACCAACGAUCGAACCUUUCCUUGAGAAUUAUGAUCAUUCCUCAAAUCCAAACCCAUAAUUGUUCAGAAAAACCCCCAAUCACGUUGAGGAAUAGCGUGUAAGCUUCAAUCUCACCCCCAAUACGACGAGUAAAGAAACCUAAAGAGGUAAAGGAGGAAGAGGAGAGUUGGAACCGAGCGACCUUUCGCGGCGGCGGAGGCGGUGGCGAGGCCGCGGCGGCGGGAGCUGGGCGUCGACGCGGAGGUGGAGAAGCGGCUUCUCCGACGCGUCCUGGGGAGCUUUAGGGUUGAAGGCGCAGUGACGGGGACGGAGGAGGAGGAGGAGGAGGAGGAGGAGGAGGAGAAGAGGGGAGGGUGGAGGCGGAGGGAGGAGGCGGCGGCGGCGACGGCGACGGCGAUCGCUGCCGUGGGGCGGAGGCGGAGGAGCAUCGGCGAGCGCACCAUGGGAGGAGGAACAAGGUGGAGAGUGAAGAGGUUCCUUAUUAUAUAUACUAGUGUAGGUACCCGCGCGAUGCGGCGGGUAAUUACUGCUAAAGUAAAAAAUUUAUAAAUAAUAAAAUAUGAACAUAAGUAAAUAAAAUUAUAGUAUGCCAGUAUUAAAAUAUUAGUUCACAAUGAAGAGCAUUAUAGUAAAAUUUUAGAAAGAGUAAAAUAUCAACAAAAGUAAUAGCUAUAUGCAGUGAGCUAUAGCCAAUACAAAAACUUGAGUAACAGGCAAUAAAAGCAAAGGCAAUAGGAGAGGCCACUGCAAAAUUUUGAAAAAAAAAUCACUUCUCAGCUUCAGAUAUAAUUAAAUUGCACUGUUGAGGAGGAAAAAUCAAAGGAACCUUCCUAGCAGUUUACCGGAUCGACUCGGAUUGUCCAUGGAACGUUCCAUAUCGUCAAUCUCUGCAGGUUAAUUUGAAUCGAUUUACGUCGCCAUAUCAAAUAAAACAUUAAAAAAAAAAAGAAAAAAAAAGAAGAAGAAAGCAAUUCAAAUUAANCUUUCUAUCAGCUUUGCAAAACUAAGGUCUUACACGGUUACAUUUUCAUUUUUUUCGUCCUUUCAACUGAAAUUCAACACAAGGGAGUGUGCAUGGCAUAUAGAUUUCUUUAUUUUCAUUACUGUUGGUUAUGUUACAAAGCCAUCUUGUUUAAGGAAAAAAAAAUAAAAUAAGAGAUAAUUGUUCCUAACUAUUUUUUUAAAAAAAACAAACACCAUCGAUGCAGAGAUUGCAAACAAUCUGUCAUCAGACUAUCGCAAAGCAUGGAAUUAAGUGAAAGAGAUAAAAAAGGGGGGGAAAAAUGUAAAAUUGAUGCAUAACCAAACAAGGCCUAAAUAUGUCACCUACUUCUCAUGCUUUCCAGAUAAUUUAAGCGCCUAUCUUUUCUAAAGAAGAGUGUGGUCUAUUAAAAUUCACCAUCAAAUACCUUUUUAAUAUGACCAUGUUUUCAAAUACACAAAAGAUAAUUGGGGAUAUAAACACAAGUUUUAAGAUAUAAUUAUUAUUUUGCUUCAUUCUGGACAAACUAUUUCUCAAAAUCUGAAGGUUGACACGCUCUGCCACUACUUCUAAUUCACAAUAUGUUUCAAAACUCAAGAGUCAUAACUUGGGGCCUAUCUAGGCCUUCUAUAGAAGUCGAUGCUCUUUGAGUAGAUUCUUCAGAAAAGCCCCACUAGUUUUUUAAUUAGGAAGUACCAAAAGCUUCCUGCUGAAGCUAAACUUCAUAUCAGAGCUUCUGCAUUCAGCUCCAGAAGCUCAUUCAAGUUUCUCAUUCCAUCCAGAAGCCCUAGAAUUUCGAAUUUCUUCUUCUUUUUCCUUCUUCUUUUCCUUUCCCAUUCUUGUCAAUACUUUGGCUUCUCGAAUAGAGAAGCUGUCGAGGAGCCAGAAUUUCUGAAAAGAACGAUUCAAAAACCUCGAACCGCGCCAAAGAUCGAACCUUUCCUUGAGAAUUAUGAUCAUUCCUCAAAUCCAAACCCAUAAUUGUUCAGAAAAACCCCCAAUCACGUUGAGGAAUAGCGUGUAAGCUUCAAUCUCACCCCCAAUACGACGAGUAAAGAAACCUAAAGAGGUAAAGGAGGAAGAGGAGAGUUGGAACCGAGCGACCUUUCGCGGAGGCGGAGGCGGAGGCGGUGGCGAGGCCGCGGCGGCGGGAGCUCGCCGUCGACGCAGAGGUGGAGAAGCGGCUUCUCCGACGCGUCCUGGGGAGCUUUAGGGUUGAAGGCGCAGUGACGGGGACGGAGGAGGAGGAGGAGGAGAAGAGGGGCGGGUGGAGGCGGCGGAGGGAGGAAGCGGCGGCGGCGACGGCGACUGCGAUCGCCGCCGUGGGGCGGAGGCGGAGGAGCAUUGGCUAGCGCACCGUGGGAGGAGGAACAAGGUGGAGAGUGAAGAGGUUCACUAUUAUAUAUAUAUAUAUAUAUAUAUAUAGAAAGAGACAGAGAGUUGAACUGGAAUGCUAUCGGUAGCAAAUGGGUUCCGUUGUCAUCUAUUUAUUUUUAAUGAUAGAGCCUCCAAAUCGACGAUCGACACAGUUAAAAAUAAUCUAUACCACUUGAAAUAUCUAGAAAUCAAAUUUCAUACUUUUCCGAUUUUGUUCUCUUGUCCAUCAAGUGGGCGUAAAAAUGAGAGGCUGAAAAUGAAUAUCCUCUAAAAAAUGAUGAUAAGAAUUUUAUAAUCAAAAUCGAGAGCAUAGAUCUUUUUCUAAAUAGUUUAAAAAAAAUUUUAAUAAAAAUUCAAUUGAUUUGGAUAGUUUUACACCGUUAAACGAGAAAAUAUCUCGUAUCUACCAUUAAAAUUAUAAUUUUUUAAAUUCUUUGAUCAUAAGACUAAUGAUGUCGAAAAGAUUUGAAAUUUGGUUUCUAGACACUUCAAGUGGUAUAGAUCAUGUUCAACGGUGCCGAUCGUCGAUUUGGAGGCUUCAUCAUCGAAAAUAAAUAGAUAGUAACAGAGCCCGUUUGCUAUCGAUAGCAUUCCAGCUCAACUCUCUCUAUAUAUAUACAUAUAUCCACCUCUAUCUCAUAUUCUCACCUUUGGGCGUAAAAUGGCCCCGGACUUUAUCCGAUUUUUCAUUUUGGUCCCAAAAGUUCCUUUUAUUUUCAAAUAGGUUCUGAAUUUUUAGGACGAAUUACCCUAUCGGUCCCUAAGCUCUUUCUUUUUAAAUAGUAGGUCUCCAGCUUCUUCUCCCAUAUAUGCACACAACUUAAUAAACCUAAUUUCACUACAGACCUCAAUUUCAUUUUUCGCUUCUAUAAUUGUCUCGACCUCACAUUAUGACAAACUGAACCCAGUCUCAUCUCAUGCCUUAAUUUUAUUUUCCACAUUUUUGACUAUCUCGAUCUCGUGUCAUGAAGAGCAAAGCCAAAUCCAACCACAACCCUCCAUCUCAUCGUUCGCAUCUGUAACGACAUCAACCUUGCAGAUGAUGUAUGUUGUCUUUUUUGGAGCAACUGACAUCUUCGACAUUGAGCCGAGUAAGCCAAGUUCUUUCUUAAAUUUUAAACAUUGUUGAAACUAUGAUCUUUUUUUCUUUUCUUUUUUUAUGAUCUAUUUGGUCAAAAUUAAUAAAAAUAUAGAUAGUUACACCUAACUAAAAUAGCAUAACUAAAAACCUUUUGUUCUACAGUCACACAAAUAAAUAGCGAAAGGUAAGUAAUUUUAUCUGAAUUCUAGUUUGCCAAAAAGUCUACUUUAAUUUAAAUUUCACCCUCGGUGAAAUAACCAUGCCCUGAAAUAAAAAAAAAAAAAGAUACAGAAAAAAAACUUAUCUAACAUAUAAAUCAGUUUGAGUCAAUUAUCCAACCUUUUAAAUUUUUGAUUUUACUGCUUUAUAUUUUUAUUUGUUUAAUUUUUAAGCUAAUUGCUUUAACAAAUUUAUAGUUACGAAAAUUACGUGACCUAGGUUAACUAAGUCGAUGAAAAUAAACAGCACAUAUAAAUUUUAAGAUUAAAAUAUCAUUAAUAGACUCAAAUUAAAAAAAUUAAAAUUUUAAAAUUGAAUAGUUAACUAAAAAUGGUUUAUAGUUUAUGUAAAUGACGCACAGGUUUACCAAAAAUAAUAAUAAUAAGGGUUAAUUGCAUACAGGUCCCCGCAAAUAUAAUAAAUUAUAAAUAUAUCCCUAUAAAGUUUAACUUUCAUAAGUUAUUCCUCAUAAAGUCUUAAUAUUUUCAGAUAUGUCCCUCUAAUUUGUUACGGUUAAAGAACUAUUAGAAAACUGUUUAUAUUUUCAAUUUUGCUAUCACAAAUAUGUCCCUCCAAAAAUUAUAACAGUAUAAUAUAAGAGGGAUAAAAAUGUGAAAAAUUAAUUCGGAUAAAGUAUUUAACUAUGGUUAACUAAACUUUUCUAACGGAGGGACAUAUCUGAAAAUAUUAGAACUUUUAUAGAAAUAACUUAUACAAAUUUGAACUUUAUAGAGAUACAUCUGUAAUUCACUACGUUUGCGGGGACCUGUAUGCAAUUGGCCCUAAUGAUAAUAAUAAAAACGAGCAGUGGUUCAUGGUGACGUGAUGGACCAAUUUCACAGAACAAAUUUAUGCUCUUUUAUUAAAUUUUGAUAGAAUUGUUUAGUAAAUUAUAAAGUUUUUAAGGGUCUAUUUGCAAAAGAGUCCCUUCCCUUCUCUUUCUCUCCAUAUUUCUCUAGAGCUCUCUCUCUCUCUCUCUCUAAACUCUCUCUCUCUGGUAAACGCUCCCUCUCACAAAACCCUAAUAAUCGAUUUUUAAUCGCAUGUUUUUGCAUCUUUUGAUCCUUUUUUCCGCCAAUUUCCACUCAAUUUUACCCUUAUUUUCGCAGAAUCGAUCAAUCGGAACUAACUAAAACCCUCGUCGUUGAUCUCUUCUUCGACGCUUCUUAGCCCUAGGGAGAGGUGAGGUGUGCGCCAUGGCGCUUCGGCGGCUCCUUGGGAGGAGCUCGAGGAUCCCAAUCGUAUCUAGGGUUUUCGCAUCGUCCGCGGCGCCUUUCUCCGCGGCGGCGUCGCCGAGCGACACGAUCCGAGCCACCCUCUUCCCCGGCGAUGGAAUUGGGCCGGAGAUCGCCGAAUCGGUGAAGCAGGUUCGGAUUUUGAUCCUUUAUUGUCGAAUUUUAUACCUUUUCUUAUCCUUUUGUUCCCCCUUUUUAUACUUUGUUUUGAUGUAGAUUGUUUGAUCUAGAGCUUGCUUGCUUGUAUGAUAUAGGUAAAAAUGCGAGGAGGCCCCUCAACAAUAGGCCAUUAUGAAUAGGCCCCUUAAAAUGUUUUAGGUCGAGACCCCAGCAAAAUUUUAGUUGUUUUGAUUUAUGUGAUUCAGGAUUUGAUUAAAUACGAUGAUGAUUUUGUUAAGUUGAUGAUUUUACCAGUUUUAGCUAAUAGAAAUGUUGAUUUUGAUGCUUAAUGGCUAAUGAAGUCGUAGUUUUGACGAAAUUCCUAAUUCAAAUAAAGGAAUAUCUCAAAUCGAAAUAAUUAGGAGUUAAGAGGGUGCCGAUUGAACAAAAAUAUGUAGUUCGGGUUUUAUUUAAGAAUGGCCUAUAGUUGAGAGGGUCUAUGUACAAUUUUACCUAUUACGUAUGAAGUUGGUUAGCUUACUUUGAUUUCGUAUCCCUGAUUGUAUUAUAGAAACAUUUAGCAUUGCUUUUUGUGAUCAAUUUUAAUUGAAUUAGCUACCUCUAGUUCAAACAAAGGAAUCGGUUUGAUACAAUGCUAAAUUUAGAUUUUUAUUUUUUUCUAUGAAAAGAUUCUGUAUUGAGUGUACAAAUCAAGAGAAUAUGGCGCUCUUUAGAUAUUAAUUUGUUUAGCUGUAUUCUGAUUUCAAUUCUGUCCUUGGAUUUUCAUUUGUAACAAUUUAGUCCCAUAGUUCGAUUUGAUUUCAUUGUUGUCCUUUGACUCGCAAUUCAACAAAGUAAAGUUAAACUUUGAUUCCGACAUUGCACCUUCUUUUUGAUAGGUUACUAACAAGGGGACUUAGUUGUUAACUCGUCAUGCAAAACAACUUUGAGGACUUACUUUCUAUUCAAUCCUUUUACAUAUUAUUUGUGUUACUGUAGGUUUUUGGUGCAGCACAAGUGCCAAUAGAAUGGGAAGAACAUUAUGUGAGCGACAAAGUUGACCCCAGAACGGAGAGCUUUUUAACAUGGGAAAGUCUUGAAUCGGUGAGGAGAAAUGGCGUGGGCCUGAAGGGCCCCAUGGCUACACCUAUCGGAAAAGGGCACAGGUCCUUGAAUCUCACAUUAAGGAAAGAGCUCGGCCUUUAUGCCAAUGUUAGACCUUGCUCUAGCCUUCCUGGUUAUCGAACUCGGUAUGAUGAUGUGAAUCUCAUCACAAUCCGUGAGAAUACCGAAGGAGAGUAUAGCGGUCUCGAACACCAAGUAAGGAUUUCAAGAACUUUUAUUUUCAGCUGCUUUUCGUAUAAUCCCUUCAAAAUUACCUAUUUACAUUCACUCCUUUAAAGUACCAAUUUAUAUAUGUCCGUAUAAAGUGUAGCUUCUUAUAUUAAUGUUGUUAUCUUAGGUCUGGGAGUCAUUAAAUUCAAGUUCAUUUAGUAUUAGAAAAAAGUUCAGGUUUAAAAUGUACAAACUUGAACUAUAUCCCAUUUCAGAAUGGGUACUUGAAAGUUGAAACUACAAAAAUUUGUAUUUACUCCGUAACCUUCUGGUAUGCUUGAUUUAACUAGCUAUCCUCAAACCUUACGAUGUUUUUAACUUUUUUGGCAGAGUAUUCUGUAACCUAACCACCUUAUAUAUAUAUAUAUAUAGAGAGAGAGAGAGAGAGAGAGAGAGAGAGAGUCUGGCUACUAUACUUUUAUGAGUACGAUCGCCUUCGUACUCAUAAGUCGUUUUCGAUGAUAGAGCUUCCGAAUCGACGAUCCAUACCGUUAAACAUUUUGUAGAGCAUUUAAAACUUCUAGAAAUCAAAUUUCAUAAUUUUUCGACAUCAUUUACCUUACGAUCAAAAGCUCACAAAAUUGACAAUUUUUAACGGCCGGUAUGGAAUACUUGCUAGUUUAACGGUGCAAAAGAAUCUGAAUAGGUUGAAUUUUUGAUAGAAAAUUCUAUUCACUACCUAGAUAAANCUCUCUCUCUCUCUCUCUCUCUCUCUCUCUCUCUCUCUCUAUAUAUAUAUAUAUAUAUAUAUAUAUAUAUAUAUAUAUAUAUAUAUCCACCUCUAUCUCAUAUUCUCACCUUUGGGCGUAAAAUGGCCCCAGAAUUUAUCCGAUUUUUCAUUUUGGUACCCAAAGUUCCUUAUGUUUUCAAACAGGUCCCAAAAAUUUAGGACGAAUUACCCUACCGGUUCCUAAGCUUUUUCUUUCAAAAUAGUAGGUCUCCAGCUUCUUCUCCGAUAUAUGCACACAACUUAAUAAACCUAAUUUCACUAUAGACCUCAAUCUCAUUUUUCACUUCUGUAAUUGUCUCGACCUCACAUUAUGACCAACUGAACCCAGUCUCAUCUCAUGCCUUAAUUUUAUUUUCCACAUUUAUGACUGUCUCGAUCUCGUGUCGUGAAGAGCGAAGCCAAAUCCAACCACUAGCCUCCAUCUCAUCGUUCGCAUCUGUGACGGCAUCGACCUUGCAGAUGAUGUAUGUUGUCUUUUUUGGAGCAACUAACAUCUUCGACCUUGAGCCGAGUAAGCCAAGUUCUUUCUUAAACUUUAAACAGUGUCGAAACUAUGAUCUUUUUUUUUUUUUUUUUUUUAUGAUCUAUUUGGUCAAAAUUAAUAAGAAUAUAGAUAGUUACACCUAACUAAAAUAGCAUAACAAAAAACCUUUUGUUCUACAGUCACACAAAUAAAUAGCGAAUGGUAAGUAAUUUUAUCUGAAUUCUAGUUCGCCAAAAAGUCUACUCUAAUUUAAAUUUCACCUUUGGUGAAAUAAUCAUGCCCUGAAAUAGAAAAAAAAAAGAUACAGAAAAAAACUUAUCUAACCUAUAAAUCAGUUUGAGUCAAUUAUCCAACUUUUUAAAAUUUGAUUUUACUGCUUUAUAUUUUUAUUUGUUUGAUUUGUGAGUAAGCAAUUGUACAUCAAAAUUUAAGCUAAUUGCUUUAACAAAUUUGUAGUUGCGAAAAUUACAUGACCUAGGUUAACUAAGUCGAUGAAAAUAAACAGCACAUAUAAAUUUUAAGAUUAAAAUAUCAUUAAUUGACUCAAAUUAAAAAAAUAAAAAUUUUAAAAUUGAAUAGUUAACUAAAAAUGGUUCAUAGUUUAUGUAAAUUAUGCACAGGUUUACCAAAAAUAAUAAUAAUAAGGGUUAAUUGCAUACAGGUCCCCGCAAAUAUAAUGAAUUAUAAAUAUAUCCCUAUAAAGUUCAACUUUCAUAAGUUAUCCAUCUUAAAGCCUUAAUAUUUUCAGAUAUGUCCCUCUAAUUUGUUACGGUUAAAGAACUAUUAGAAAACUAUUUAUAUUUUCAAUUUUGCUAUCACAAAUAUGUCCCUCCAAAAAUUAUAACAGUAUAAUAUAAGAGGGAUAAAAAUAUCAAAAAUUAAUCCAGAUAAAGUAUUUAACUAUGGUUAACUAAACUUUUCUAACGGAGGGACAUAUCUGAAAAUAUUAGAACUUUUGUAGAAAUAACUUAUAAAAGUUUGAACUUUAUAGAGAUACAUCUGUAAUUCACUACGUUUGCGGGGACCUGUAUGCAAUUGGCCCUAAUGAUAAUAAUAAAAACGAGCAGUGGUUCAUGGUGACGUGAUGGACCAAUUUCACAGAACAAAUUUAUGCUCUUUUAUUAAAUUUCGAUAGAAGUGUUUAGUAAAUUGUAAAGUUUUUAAGGGUCUAUUUGUAAAAGAGUCCCUUCCCUUCUCUUUCUCUCCAUAUUUCUCUCUAGAGCUCUCUCUCUCUCUCUCUAAACUCUCUCUCUCUCUGGUAAACGCUCCCUCUCACAAAACCCUAAUAAUCGAUUUUUAAUCGCAUGUUUUCGCAUCUUUUGAUCCUUUUUUCCGCCAAUUUCCACUCAAUUUUACCCUUAUUUUCGCAGAAUCGAUCAAUCGGAACUAACUAAAACCCUCGUCGUUGAUCUCUUCUUCGACGCUUCUUAGCCCUAGGGAAAGGUGAGGUGUGCGCCAUGGCGCUUCGGCGGCUCCUUGGGAGGAGCUCGAGGAUCCCAAUCGUAUCUAGGGUUUUCGCAUCGUCCGCGGCGCCUUUCUCCGCGGCGGCGUCUUUCUCCGCGGCGGCGUCGCCGAGCGACACGAUCCGAGCCACGCUCUUCCCCGGCGAUGGAAUUGGGCCGGAGAUCGCCGAAUCGGUGAAGCAGGUUCGGAUUUUGAUCCUUUAUUGUCGAAUUUUAUACCUUUUCUUAUCCUUUUGUUCCCCCCUUUUUAUACUUUGUUUUGAUGUAGAUUGUUUGAUCUAGAGCUUGCUUGUUUGUAUGAUAUAGGUAAAAAUGCGAGGAGGCCCCUCAAUAUAGGCCUUUAUGAAAUUGGCGGCUCCACUUAAAAAUGUUAUAGGUCGAGACUCCAGCAAAAAUUUUAGUUGUUUUGAUUUAUGUGAUUCAGGGUUUCAUUAAAUACGAUGAUGAUUUUGUUAAGUUGAUGAUUUUACCAGUUUUAGCUAAUAGAAAUGUUGAUUUUGAUGCUUAAUGGCUGAUGAAGUCGUAGUUUUGACGAAAUUUCUAAUUCAAGUAAAGGAAUAUUCAAAUCAAAAUAAUUAAAAGUUAUGAGGGUGCAGAUUGAACAAAAAUAUGUAGUUCGGGUUCUAUUUCAGAACGGUCUAUAGUUGAGAGGGUUUAUGUACAGUUUUGUCUGUUAUGUAUGAAGUUGGUUAGCUUACUUUGAUUUCGUAUCCCUGAUUGAUGAAGUCGUAGUUUUGUCGAAAUUCCUGAUUCAAAUAAAGGAAUAUUUAAAUCAAAAUAAUUAAAAGUUAAGAGGGUGCCGAUUGAACAAAAAUAUGUAGUUCGGGUUCUAUUUCAGAAUGGCGUAUAGUUGAGUGUCUAUGUACAAUUUUACCUGUUAUGUAUGAACUUGGUUAGCUUUCUUUGAUUUCGUAUCCCCGAUUCUAUUAUAGAAACAUUUAGCAUUGCUUUUUGUGAUCAAUUUUAAUUGAAUUAGCUAUUUCUAGUUCAAACAAAGGAAUCGGUUUGAUAUGAUGCUAAAUUUAGAUUUUUAUUUUUUUCUAUGAAAAGAUUCUGCAUUGAGUGUCAAAUCAGAGAAUAUGGCGCUCUUUAGAUAUUAAUCUGUUUAGAUGUAUUCUGAUUUCAAUUCCGCCCUUGGAUUUUCAUUUGUGUUCGAUUUGAUUUCAUUGUUGUCCUUUGACUCGCAAUUCAACAAAGUAAAGUUAAACUUUGAUUCUGACAUUGCACCUUCUUUUUGAUAGGUUACUAACAAGAGGACUUAGUUGUUAACUUGUUAUGCAAAACAACUUUGAGGACUUAAUUUCUAUUCAAUCCUUUUACAUAUUAUUUGUGUUAGUGUAGGUUUUUAGUGCAGCACAAGUGCCAAUAGAAUGGGAAGAACAUUAUGUGAGCGACAAAGUUGACCCCAGAACGGAGAGCUUUUUAACAUGGGAAAGUCUUGAAUCGGUGAGGAGAAAUGGCGUGGGCCUAAAGGGCCCCAUGGCCACACCUAUCGGAAAAGGUCACAGGUCCUUGAAUCUCACAUUAAGGAAAGAGCUCGGCCUUUAUGCCAAUGUUAGACCUUGCUCUAGCCUUCCUGGUUAUCGCACUCGGUAUGAUGAUGUGAAUCUCAUCACAAUUCGUGAGAAUACCGAAGGAGAGUAUAGCGGUCUCGAACACCAAGUAAGGAUUUCAAGAACUCUUAUAUUCAGCUGUUUUUCUUAUAAUCCCUUCAAAAUUAACUAUUUACAUUCACUCGUUUAAAGUACCAAUUUAUGUAUGUCCGUAUAAAGUGUAGCUUCUUAUAUUAAUGUUGUUAUCUUAGGUUUGGGAGUCAUUAAAUUCAAGUUCAUUUAGUAUUAGAAAAAAGUUCAGGUUAAUAUGUACAAACUUGAACUAUAUCCCAUUUCAGAAUGGGUACUUGGAACUACAAAACUUUGUUUUUAUUCCCUAACCUUCUGGUAUACUUGAUUUCGCUAGGUAUCUUCAGACCUUAUGAUGUUUUUAACUUUUUUGAGAGAGUAUACUGUAACCUAACCACCUUAUGGAUAAUUUUUUUUUUCUCCCAUGAAAAAUUCUAGUGUUAAAGAAUGUGAAACUGCCAUUGUUCUCCUAAAGCUUAAGCUUAGAGGGAACAGUGUUUUAUAUUUUUAUAUUCAACACUCACGUUCGGGCUCGAGAUUUUUUAAUAUGCCUAAGACGUGAAUUCAAUUAAAUGAGAAGAAAUUAAAUAACACUAGGACCGUGGCAACAUUCGAAACUCCUACUCUAAUACCAUGUUAAGGAAUGUCAAACAAUUGCUGUUCUCCAAAAGGUUAAGCUAAUAGAGAACGGUAUUUUUAUUUUUAUAUUCAACAGCUAGGUUCUAACAUAAAGAAAUUUUUUGACAUUAAAAGUAAUGAAAGGUUAGAUUGUAAAAUUAAUACCUUUAAGGUUGAGGUACCCAUGUCAAAACAUGCCAUAAAUCAGGUAAGGUUGAUAUAUUCUUACCAAAGUUUCAUAUGCAAGAAAUUAAGUUCUGGAAGUGCUUAUGUGAAAGUUUAGAAUUUUGCAUGGAUAUAUGCCAAUGAGUAAUUUUGCACAGUAUAUGUAAUAUCUCGUUUAUUUAUUAUCCUGUUGUGAUGUGUUAUUUUUGUGAUCUAUAUGCAAAUUUCCAGGUAGUGAGAGGUGUUGUAGAAAGUCUAAAAAUUAUUACCCGUCAGGCGAGUCUGCGAGUUGCUGAAUAUGCUUUUCACUAUGCCAAGACUAACGGCCGCGAAAGAGUGUCAGCUAUUCACAAAGCCAACAUCAUGAAGAAAACCGAUGGCCUUUUCCUCAAGGUAUUGAUUGUAUUUUACCUGCAUUUUCUUACUUACAUGGAAGGGGAGACUUAUUGUUACUUCAUCUGCAGUGCUGCCGUGAAGUUGCUGAGAAGUAUCCUGAAAUAACUUAUGAGGAAGUGAUCAUUGACAAUUGUUGUAUGAUGGUAUGCAACAAAAUUAUUCUUUUGUUUAGUUUUUCUGUUGCUUUUAGUAUUGUUUGUCUAACUGUUUAGUGAUGAGGUUACUCGAUUUUGCUGGGGACUACAUGGACUAUAUGAUGUUAUUUGUAUAUUGCAACUGAUUAAUCUUUGGAUUAAUUACAAAAGUUGCCUGUAAAGUUUGACUGCUAUUUAAGUUACAUUCUCAUUUCUCAAUGGCUGUCCCUAAGAUUUGUCCAACAUAAAAAUUGAAUCCUUUCAGUCUAGCAUCUAGAGAUGCCACUUCAGCAUCAUUGUUAAAUCACCGACAUGAAGUUUCUUUUGGUUUCAUUUUACUGAUGGUGUUGAUGGGGAAUUGGUUUAUAUUGUAGACUAAUGAAGGAUAAUUGUCAUGUGGAACAAGCUUCAGGAACUAGCUUGUCAUAAUCUGUAACUUUGAGGAUGUAAUUGAAAUAGGGUUCAAACUCAGCAACUAAUCUUUGAUGUACUGUCUUUUUUCUUUUCUUUUCUUUUCCCUUUUUUUGUAAUUUUCUUGUCUUAUUCCGACUUUGGUCUUGUUUUAGCUUGUUAAAAAUCCUGCCCUCUUCGACGUGUUAGUGAUGCCGAAUCUCUACGGUGACAUCAUUAGUGACCUCAGUGCUGGUCUUAUUGGGGGUUUGGGAUUAACCCCAAGGUAAUAAACAGUAUAUUUUUCCCCAAAAAUUAAUUAUAAAAGCAUAUGAUAGCUUAACUUCUGGUUCCUUUUGUAGCUGCAACAUUGGUGAAGGAGGUAUUGCCCUUGCAGAAGCUGUACAUGGUUCAGCUCCCGAUAUCGCCGGCAAGGUACAUUCCCUCAGCCAUCAUAUUUUUUAUUUUGGAUCAUCGAAAAAUUUGUCCCGAACCAAAGAACAGAAGAUCCCGUAAAGAGAUUGGUUCGUAUGCAACAAAAUUAACAUGGGGAUGCUUGACCCAUAGUGAGAUGAUUUGGAGCUCGAAUUUUGCAGUACUUUAAUUGCUUUGUGGGUGCUGUUUUGAUCGCCUUUCAAUGUCAUGAAACUAGAGCAUGCUGACGGUUAAAUGGCUAUAAUGAAGGUGGACCAACAAUAUAUAAGCAAUUAAAUCCUCAUUCGUAGCAUUUCAGUAAACCACAUUGUGUUAUCGUGUGCUCAUUUUCAUGGCAUUCAACUGCAUUUCUAACCGGCAACGAGAACUGCACCUCAGGCGGCAGUUCUAUUUUCCGAACAAUGGGUCUUAAACCGGAAUUAGGCUGUUUCCUUUUGUAAAUUGUAUGUUGGGAUUGAUGCUAGUUAGCUUUCUGAUGUUGCCCGAUGGUACGCCUCAGAAUCUUGCGAAUCCGACGGCCCUCCUGCUGAGCAGCGUUAUGAUGUUACGCCACCUGAAGCUGAACGACAAAGCCGAUCAAAUCCACAGCGCCAUUCUCGACACCAUCGCGGAAGGUAAGCACCUGACCGUCGAUCUCGGGGGGCGCUCUUCAACGACGGAGUUUACAGAAGCCGUGUGCGAUCAUCUCUGAGAACUUAGGCAUAUCAUCUCCGUUGGUUUGGUGACUUUGUAAGUUUAGUUCCGACAGUUAUUUUGCGCUGUGAGAUCACUUUGAUGACAGUAAAAUAAUGCUCUCGCGUAAUCAUGUUAUUUUUCUUGUUCCGCGAUUUAUGUAAAUAAACAAAAUCACCAGCAAUCAUUGACCCUCUGAUAUGCUGAUGCUAAUUUUUUUUGCAUUUCUUUUGAAGUGUUGGUGUUUAAACAAAACUCCUAAUUUUUAGCUCUCAACUUUUAUUGUUGUUAUGUUUGUGUAUAUGAAAUACCAUUUCUAGCCUUAGCUUCACUAAUGGGAUCAUAUGAACUGUUAGAGGCUAAGGGUACUAUACUCUUAUGAGUAAGAGCUCUUCGUACUCAUAAGUUAUUUUCGAUGAUGAAGCUUUCGAAUAGACGAUCUAUUCCGUUAAAUAUGAUCUAGAGUAUUUAAAAUUUAUAAAAAAUAAAUUUCGUAAUUUUUCGAAAUCAUAAUAAAGUUCAUAAAGCGGAAGUAAAACGAACAGUCAAAAUCGAAAGACGUUUUAAAAAUGGAUGAUCGGAUCUUUCAAUUUAAGAUCAGAGUUAUUGAUUUUUGUUUAGGUAGUAAAUAAAUUUUUUAUCAAAAAUUCAAUCUAUUUCAAUUUUUUUACAUCGUUAAACUAAUAAGUAUUUCAUACCUGUUAAAAAUUAUUAAUUUUGUGACUUUUUGAUCGUAAGGUGAAUGAUAUUAAAAAAUUAUAAAAUUUAAUGUUUAAAAAUUUAAAUAUUCUAGAUAAUGUUUAAUUAUAUGGAUCGUCGAUUCGGAAGUUCUAUCAUCGAAAACGGCUUAUGAGUACGAGGGCGAUCGUACUCAUAAGAGUGUAGUAGUUAGACUCAAUGUUAGAUGACCUACAUUGGCAAUUUACACUUAGGCCUUGGUUUGAUGCAUCAACAUCUUAUUUGAUAUACCCUUUUCAUUUACUCAAAAAGCUUGAAGUAUUUAAUAGAUGAGAAGUGUGAUUAUAUGUCUAAAAUGAAUAACCAUAUUCAGUCUUCAAGUUAUUUUUUCAGAAUAAGAUAAAUUAUUUCAUAGUUGAAACAUGCUAUCCUAUCAAAUCAUAAAUGUUAAGAUCUUUUAAGCAAAAUCAAACUCGUUUUUAAUCACGAAAAAAUUACUCAAGAAGCAUGUAGUAUUUGAUAGAUGAGAAGUGUGAUUAAAUGUCUAUCGUAUUCAGUUUUCAAGUUAUUUUUCAAAAUAAGAUAAAUUAUUUUGAAGUCAGAUCAUAAAUGCCAAGAUCUUUUAAGCAAAAUCAGAUUCCUUGCUUUUAAUAAUCACACAAAAGAAUUAUCACGCGAAAAUAAGUUAUUAUUCGACUUCCAAGUUAGAUUUUAGAUUCUGCUCGUAUGCAUGAAUAUAUUUGUACAAUAUCUAAUUUUGAUUUACUCAAGAAGCUUACAGUAUUUGAUAGAUGCGAUUGAUUAUGUGUAUAGAGUGACAUACAAUAUCCAACCUUUAAUCCUUAGUUUUUUUUGUUUUUUUAUUUUGGAAUAAGAUAUUAUUUUGCAGGUGGGAUACGCUAUCCUACGAACUCUUUGAUGCCAAAAUCUUUCCAGGAGCUAAAAUCAAGCUUCCAGCUUCCAACAACUGUUUGUUCACACUUGUGCAUAUACAAAAUCCGAGCCCAACUACAAAUCUGAAAUCUGAAUCAAAAUGCGAAUCCGACCGAUUUUAAAAAUUCAUAUACAAAUUCGAACCUGACCAAACAUAUGAAAUCCGAAUCAGAAUCCGAAUCCGAAACAAUUAUUUCUCUUUACAAUAUUUCAAAGCAUAUUACGUUGAAUUUAAAAUUUUAAAAUACAAAUUUAAAUAUAAUAUCACAUAUAUACACACACAAUAUAAAAUUAAUUUGGAUUUGGGUUCGGAUACAGUUAAAAUUCAUAUCCGAAUUCAAAUUCGUCGGAUAUUUAUUUUUUAUAUCUAUAUUUAAAACUAUAUUCGUUUAGCAUCGAAUAAAUUUGCUUUGUUCGGGUUUGGAUUCGAUGGGCUUGUUCAAAACUAUUUAUUUGUGUGGGUUGAUAUCAAAAAGAAUAGUGUACCGCAUGAUUAUGUGGCGUUCAAAAUUAAAUAUCAACUAGUUAAGAAAUCCAUGCGAUGCAAUGAAAAAAUAUUAGAGUGAGGCUAUUAUACUUCUGAAAGCACGAAUAUCGUUUUCAAUGUUGCGACUUUCGAAUCGUCGAUCGGCUCCAUUAAACUUGAUCUAGAGUAUUUGAAAUACUUAGAAAAUAAAUUUUAUGAUUUUUCAAUAUCAUUUGCCUAGUGAUCGAAGGGACUCAAAAUCAAUAAUUUUAAUGGCUGUGGUGAGCCGUUUGCAAGUUUAACGAUAUAGAAAUAUUCAAAUCACGUGAAAUUUUGAUAGAAAAUUCUUUAUAAUAUAUAAAAUAAGAUCAAUAUUUUUGAUCUAAAAUUUUAAUGUCAUAUUAUCACGUUUUAUAAGAUUUUUAUUUUCAGCCGUUGAUUUUGAGCCCCUUAGUUCACUAGGCAAAUGAUAUCGAAAAAUUGUAAAAUUUAAUUUCUAGGUACUUCAAAUACUCUAAAUCAAGUUUAACGGAGCCGAUCGACGAUUCGAAAGUCGCAACAGCAAAAACGACAUGGAGGCACGGAAGGCUCCGUGCUUCCAGAAGCAUAGUAGCCUCACUCAAAAUAUUAUUACAUAAUUACAGUUUGUAGAUUAAUAUUUCUGAACUCAAUAUCAAGAUUUGUAUGCGAUUCAUAAUUCAUGAUUAUUAAAGAACACAAAAUCACCUAUCCUUCCAUGGCCAUCAAGCAAUUUUAAGAGUCAGGCUACUAUCCUAUUAAUAGGAUUGGGACCAUUGUCCUAUCAAAUAGUUUUGAAUGAUCGACACUUAAAAUUGAUAAUCGACAUUGUUAAAAUUGAUCUACACUAUAAAAAAUAUUUAAAAACCGAAUUUUGUAAUUUUUGAAAAUCAUUAUCAAGUCUAUUGAAGAGUCGAAAAAAUGAACGGUCAUAAAUAAAUAACCUUCUUAAAAUAGAGGUUAGACUUUCUCAAAUCAUGAUUAGAGUUAUCAAAUAUUAUCUAAGUAGUAUAAAGAAUUUUCUAUCAAAAAUUCAAACAAUUUGAAUUACUCUACACCGUUAAACAAGCAAACGAAAAAAAAAAAAAGUCAAUUUUACGAUACUUUGAUCAUUAUGUAAAUAAUUUUUAAAAUUUAUGAAAUUUAGUUUUUAGAUAUUUGAUAGGACAAGUGUUACUAUCCUAUUAAUAAGAUAGUAGCCCUAGCCCAAUUUUAAAAUAUAUGAUUUAGGAACCAAAAGAAACCCUCCCCUUAUUUUGGGGGGUUUGUGGGGGUUCACAUAUAAUUUUUUUAAAAAAUAUUAAUUGCAUAUUAAUCCUCAAUCUUUCCACCACCUUUCAUUUUGGUCCCUAAUUUUUUUUUUCAAUCAAGUUUUCAAAUUUUUUCACUUCAGUCCCCAAAAUUAAAAUUAAAAUUUUUAAUUUAAAUCCGGAAUUAAUACUAAAAUUUAAACUAAUUAGCAAUUAGAAUUUUAAAUUGAAUCUAAAUUUUGAUUUCAAACUUAGUUUUUUUUAUUUUGAUAUUUGAAUUUGCAUUCGAAAUUUUAAUCUUAAUUUAAAUUUUAAAUAUGUAAUUUUACUUUUAAUUUUAAUUUAAACAAAUGAGAAGAACUAGCUUUGAGCUAUUAAGUUGAUUUAUUAUUUAAAUUUAGACAAAUGAGAACAACUAGCUUUCACUUUAAUUAAUUUUUUUAUUUAUAAAUUCUAUUGCGAUGAUAAUAAAAAGCAUUACUCAUCUUUUUUAAUAUUGUAAUAAACUUUUCAUUUAUUUUAAAUUAAUGUAUUUAUUUUAAUAAUUAGGUUUAGAUGUUUUCAAUGCCAAGUAUAUUUUAAUUUCAUUCUUUAAUCUUUAAUUAUUUAAUAGUGAUAUAAAUAUUAAAAAAUAUUAAUGCAUAUGGUUAAUUAGUUAUAGAUGAUAAGUGAGAUUGUAUUCUAAAUUAUUAUAAAAAGGGAUAACUUCAAAACCCCCCCUGUGGUUUCCAACUUUCUCACUUUAGUACCCUGUGGUUUAAAGUGUAUCAAUUUGCCCCCCUGUGGUUUUGUUUUUAUUUUUUCUAUAGCUUUUUUCUUAAUAUUUCGUUAAAUUAUAUGCAAAAAACCAUCAGAUAUCCAUCUAGAUUUACCGAAUAUUUACUUUAGUACCCUUUAAUAUUAAUUUUGUUACUGAUUUGAGAAAAAAAAUAAUAAAAUUGAUAAAAAAAGGAGAAAAACGAGACCACAGGGGGGCAAAUUGAUACACUUUAAACCACAGGGUACUAAAGUGAAAAAGUUGGAAACCACAGGGAGAGUUUUUGAAGUUAUCCCUUAUAAAAACUUCAAAUACCACUCUUGUGGUUUCACGCUUUCUCACUUUAGUACCUUGUGGUUUAAACUGUAUCAAUUUAGUAUCUUAUGGUUUUAUUUUUAUCUCUUUAUUAUUGAUUCCACUAAUUUUUUUUUUUGUUAAAUCAAUGACAAAGUUAAAACUAAAGUGUAGUAAAGUGAAUAUUCGAUAAAUCUAGGUGGAAUACCUGAAGUUUUUUUUGUAUAUAAUCUAACUUAAUAGUAACGAAAAAAUUGACAAAAAGAUAAAAAUGAAGCCACAUAAUACUAAAGUGAGAAAGUGCGAAACAACACAAAUAAUUUUUAAAAUCUAAAUUAUUCUUUUAAUAUAAAUUUUAAUAUUAAAAUAUGUACUAAUAUAUAUAUAUAUUGGAGUUGGACUGGACUACUAUUAAUAGCAAAAUUCUAUUAUUUGCUAUCAGUUUUUUAGCCUUUGGAUCAACUCUUUUCAUUAUUUCUAACCAUUGGAUUAAAUAUUAUAAUCCAGUAGGGACCACUCAACCCUAGGAGGACCACUCAACUACCGUUUGGUUCGGGUAUAAGCAAUAACUAGCUAUUACAGGGAUAUGUAUAAGUAUGGGGAUAAGAAAAAUAGUGUUUGGAUGAAAAUUGGGUUGUUUCCGGGGAUAAGAACAAUUUUAGGUAGUUUUAUAUAGAAAAUAGAGGUGUUGGUGGGAAUAACCGAGAACUACUAUUCUCGAAUAAAAAAUUAGCAUUUGGGUAUAAAGAGAGGGAUAAGGGCCUAUUCCUAUCCCUAUUCCGAUUGCCAUAUAACCGACUAACAUUACUCUGAUCCUAUAAUUUUUUAUUCAAAAAUUAAAAACUUAAUAGCAAAAAAAAAAAUAUUUUACUAUUAAUAA
rnacentral:lncRNA from 1 species